rnacentral:lncRNA from 1 species
GUGGGGAGAGUACUUGAUCUGAAGUCUAAGUCGUUAACGGAUAUGAUAUGGGAAGGUUGAGCUGCCGUUUAUCUGUUCCUAGAGAUGCUAGAAUUCUGGAGAACUUUAUCUUUGAAAAUCUUUAAAAUGUUGCAUGAUGAGUUCCUGUAUGAUGAGAGUUUAAAUUCCUACCACAGCCAUAUAUACAUGCUUGCUAAACUUUGAGCCACACAUUUACUUUACUGCUUAUGAGCAUUGAGUGUGAUCAAGCUGUGUAGACCGUUAGGAGCUUGUCAUGUGGUUAAAUCAAGAUUCACUUGCACGUUCACUCACACAUGCUGCUUCUACUCCGAAAGUACGCAUCCACAUACAUCCAUCCAUUUCCAUCUCCAGAAUCACCCAAAAAUAUUCUACUCUUAUCUAGGAGAGAAUAGCCAAAAAUAAUAUCCUAUCCCUGUUAUUCCUCGUGAAAUAAAUGCUCGAGAUAUUUUGGUUACUACCACUUGCUACAUUAUUCUAGGAGGAUGAGUGCUCUGAAAAAAAGUGAAUACGAGGAAAUAAAAAGGGGCAAGUGCUCGGAACCUCGAAGAAAAGAAAAAGUGAGACGAGAGGUAAAAAUGGACAAGUGUCCGACAGUAGAAUUAGGGGUACAAGAUACCCACCUGAGAGAAAAGAAAAAAAAGAGAAAAUAUAGAGCAUCUCAUUCCCCUCAAAAAGCUUCAAAGUGCAAGAAAGGUAUGUAUCCCCUCAAAAGAGCAAACGUAGAAUUAGACUUCCACCAUUGUUAUCACCAUCAUCACCACUGUUAUCACCAUUCAUUCGCCACACAUGCAUAUCUUGAUUUGACGUAUUGACUUGAUCUUCUGGAUCCAUGGUUUGACUAUGCAAUAAAUGUCUUGUAACUAUGUAUUAGCUGUCUCCCACCUAUGAGGUCCAGAUAUCAAAAGCCUUAUUAGAGUAGGGUGAGAGAGAAGGCAAUGCCACUAUGCCUCAUACCAAAAAUACCACAUACUUUGAGAGAAGGCAUACACCUUUAUUGCCAUGGUAAGGAUCCAGAAAUACCAUAAAAGAGAGACUAGAGAGAGUCAUACAAGGAAUCUCUGAGUUUAAUUUGAAAAUCUGCAAAAACUCCAGAGCUAUAGUUAAUCAAAGAACAAGAGACGUGGCGCUUGACUAGAACGUUCUAUCUUUUAACUGCUCAAGACACAAGUGAUGGUUGCAAGCCUCAUGGUGGAAGGUAAAAUGAGUAAGUUUAAGUCUUAACAGUUUACCCUAACCGAGAGAUGAGAAUUUUGUUUCAACGCAUGUGUAUCUUUAAGGCAUGAAACCACUGCAGAAACUCUUGAGUCCAUCUUUGCUCACGGACGAGCAAAGGUUAAGCUUGGGGGAGCUUGUUGACUGUCCUUAAUGCUCACAUUUAACCAUCAACUAAUCAUGCAAAAGGAUCCAAAUGCAACCAACACCCAGACUUAGGGUUUUAUCUGAUAGAAUUCCAUGAGUUUUGGUGUUUGUCUAUUUCUGCAGGGGGUUAUCAGAAAAUACGGAAGAAAGGCCCACACGUCGGGUUUACAUAGAGAUAUUAACGUCCCACGCAAUUUUCUAUCAACUAGAAGACUCCAGAAGCCACGGGAACAAAGCGGAAGCCUAGAGGGCUUAGGGACAGGGCUGCCGCCCUAGUCCUCAGGGCGCCCGCCCUCCUAUUCUGCCCAAAAAGGGUACAACUCAGGGAUCAUGCUCCACCGACCUAAAGGAUCAAGGAAAACCGUGCGAUUAAUGUCGGUUUGAUCCGACGGCCUAGAUUCAUCUGAAAAGACUAUAUAAGCAAGGCCCCCUAGCACCUAGAGAGCAUACCUCUUCUACAGAAUCAAAGUUAGGGUUUCAAUUCUUCAUCCAAGUAGAGAGGAUCCCUCUAGUUCAUCUAGUUCUAGUUCUAGUUCAUCUAGUUCUAGUUCAUCUAGUUCUGGUUCCUCUAGUUCUAGUUCUAGUUAGUUCUAGUUGUAAUCUAGAAAAUAGGGACAGAGAAGAGGAGAGCGGAGGAGGAGCCAGAUCUGUCAGAUCUUCCUCAACAUUGUACUUUUGCAGCAACUGGUUUGUUCUUCAUCGUUCUCUUGGUUCUUCAAUUCACAAUUCCUGAGUUCUUUAAUUACUUUUAUUUACAUUCAAGUUAUUUAUUGGAUUCCCGCUUGCAUCAAGUGCUCUAAUCUUUGAAACAUUAGAGUAGUAAUUAAUAGAUUAGACGUGGUGUUUAGUCUUGCAAUUACCUGGAAUUGCACCCAAUCCUGCGGAUUGUUGUGGUAGCCCUAGGGUAGUGACAGCCCUAACGGUCGACGUAUUCCACCUCGUUUGAAUCGGUGUUUGUAGGACCGUAGUCAGAGCUUCAUAGCCCCCUUCUCAUCUCUUUCUGUGGUUAGUGUUAUGAUGUCCCGAAAUACAUAAUCUUGAGGUAAUUCUUGAUUCUUAGAUCAACUAGAGAACUCUCAAGAAACUUCCUCUCUUCCCACCAAAAAUAAUUAUAUAGUUAUCCUUGGGCGAUCUUGGAUCUUAAUUAGUACACUCACGUUCUCUGUGGAAAAUCGAUACUCUAGAAUACUCCCGGGUGAAAGCUACAUCGGUAUCCGUGCGCUUGUGGAUUUUUCUGUUUGCGUUUAAAAUACCCAACAACAGCACACCGGACGCUAAAGGCCAGUGUUCGGUGAGUGUUUUCUCACUGAGAAACACUCCCGCGACUUUUCCAAAAUUUCCCACCGGCGCAAUAGAAAAUAUACACUUAUUUUUCUCAAAAGCGCCGAAUCCCUAACCCUAGGAACUCCACCUCCUUUGCAAAAGUGCUAACACCAACAAGUGUCCACCACCAAAGUGCAUGUGUGUUAGCUUUUCACAAACAUUUUCCCAAAGGAGUUAAGUUAGCAUUUUACUAGAUCCUAAUGCAUAUGCUCAAGAUGUAGACCUAGUAGCACUUGAUUAGAGAGAUAACCGUGAUUUUCCCUCUUGAUAGUCGGCUAUCUAUCUUAAACACGGUCAAUCACUUCUCUACUCAUCUUAGACUGGCAAAAGUAAAACCCUAUGUUUAUACCUUUGCCUUGAUAACUUUGCUCCUCGUAUAUCACCAUGAUCUUCACUUCAUGCUUCAUCCCUUUGUGAUCAUGUGGCCACCUUUCCAUGCCUCCAUGCACCUUCAUCACAUGUGUUGCUAUGCCUAACUCAAAUCACUUAAACACAAGGCGUUAACAACUUGGUGUCAUUAAUUACCAAAACCAAACUUGGGCUUUCAAUCUCCACUUUUUUGGUAAUUGAUGACAACCAUCACAAAGAUAUGAAAUGAAAACAUAAGGAACUUGAAUUGUUUGUCCAAAGCAUUUUAAUCAUGAGACAAGGUUGGACAAACAUUUCAAUUUCGGUUUUGGUAGUACUAGCUUCCCCUACAUAUGUCCUUCCAUGAGUUUGGUUCAGGUUUGCACAUAUGCAUGAAUUGGAAUUUUGGGAGAUUUAUUACUACCAAAAUGAUGCUAAGGUAUAUAGAAUGGACCUUUGAAGCUUGAUACCAAUCGGAGUUGCCAAUAUACCAUCCUUAGCACCAAUGUAGCUAGACAUACAUCAAAAACUCAAGAUACCUCGUGAGAUCACAUUAUAUGUCUAGAUAACACAUGAAAAUAAAACUCUAUGCUAGAAUUCAAAGCAUCAUUCAAGUUUUAUUUCUAGCAAGCUCCAAUCAAACAAGAGUUGUGAAUUUAAACUUACAAUGCAACACCUCAUUAUGUUAGUGCACAUACAAAUGCAAAAAAUGGUUCAUGAGCUUGCUCCCCCUAUUUUUGUGCUCAAGUUUUAAUUUUAUCUCUCCCCCUUAAGCACUUUUCUCACCCUUUAUGACUUUAUCUUUGUUUCUCUCCCCCUUUGUCAUCAAUGACCACAAAGGUUCAAAUUUUAGUGAGAAUUAAGUCAAUCAAUGUGAGGGUCAAAUUAUGGUUCAAUCUAGAUCACUUGCCUAGAACAUGUAAUUCGGUUUGAUCCAAGAACAAGCUUUUUCACACCUCAUGAAGUAUACGGGUUAUCUUGACCAUGUUGAAUUACACAUCAUAAGCUUAUAUUCUAGAUUCAACACUAUGCUUGCAAGCUCACAAACAUGUCAUAUGCUACCACUAGAUCAAGCAAUCAUAAAGACAAUAGUGGUACCAUACAUACAUCAAAAUCUUUUGAUUUUCAUGAAUGAGCCAAUUUGUCAUGCAAACAUGUCUAUAUGUUCUAACCAUGUCCUCAGCAAAGUAUGAAUGCUAUGUCAACCAACUUUACCUUGCUUUGUUGAAGGAGAGGCAUGUCAUAUAAAAGUGGGGGUGCACUCAUCUCAAGUUGGAGAAGUCAAGUAUGUUCAAUUCAUUUCUCAACUUGCAAAAUCUCUUCUCAUCAAGUGGCUUUGUGAAGAUGUCGGCUAGUUGAUCUUUGGUGCCGAUGCUUUCAAUGCUAAUAUCACCCUUUUGUUGACGGUCCCUUAUGAAAUGGUGCCUUAUAUCAAUGUGCUUGGUUCUUGAAUGUUGAACUGGACUUUGUGUCAUCUUGAUUGCACUUUCAUUGUCACAUAGCAAAGGCACAUUCUUGAAUUUGAUUCCAAAGUCAUUCAAGGUAGCUUUCAUCCAAAGCAAUUGUGCACAACAACUACCGGCACUAAUGUAUUUGGCUUUGGCCUCGGCAGUUGAUAGUGCAACACUGUUUUGUUUCUUUGAUGACCAUGAAACUAGAGACCUUCCUAGGAAUUGACAAGUGCCACUUGUGCUCAUUCUAUCAAUCUUGCAUCCACCAUAGUCGGAGUCCAAAUAUCCAAUCAACUCAAAGUUUGACCCCUUGGGAUACCAUAAUCCAACAUCAUGAGUGCCCUUAAGAUACCUCAAUAUCCUCUUGGUUGCCUUCAAGUGACUCUCCCUUGGUAAAGCUUGAUAUCUCACACACUUGCUCACACUAAACAUCACAUCCGUCCUUGAUGCGGUGACAUAGAGCAAACUUCCAAUCAUGGACCGAUAUAGCUUUUGAUCUACCAUGUUGCCACUUGCAUCACUACCUAAUUGAUCAUUUGUGCCCAUAGGUGUGCUCAUUGGUUUAGCUUCUUGCAACCCAAACUUCUUGAUCAUGUCCUUGAUGUACUUGCCUUGACUUAUAAAAGUACCAUCCUUCAUUUGCUUGAUUUGAAGACCAAGGAAGUAACUAAGCUCUCCAAUCAUGGACAUCUCAAACUCAUUUGCCAUCAUUCUUCCAAACUCUUCACAAAAGUCUUGAUUGGUUGAUCCAAAGAUGAUAUCAUCAACAUAGAUUUGCAACACAAACAAGUCAUUGCCUAGCUUCUUGGUGAAGAGGGUAGUGUCAACUGUGGACGGUCCUUAAGUAUCAAAUUUAAUUAUCAAAUAAAUAAAGAAAAGGAUCCAAAUGAAAUCAACAUCUAGAUUUAGGGUUUUAUCUGACAGAAUUCCAUGAGUUUUGGUGUUUGUCUAUUUCUGCAGGGGGUUAUCAGGAAAUAUGGAAGAAAGGCCCACACGUCGGGAUUACGUAAAGAUAUUAACGUGCCGCGCAAUUAUCUUACAUCUAGAAGACUCCAGAAGCCACGAGACCGAAGUGGAGGUGAAAUGGGGCCUGACCCUGGGCGCCCGCCCAGUUGGUCAGGGCGCCCGCCCUGCCCCUGAGUCCAAUCAGGACUCUGCUUUGUGGGAGAUUUCCACCGACCUAAAGGAUGAAUCUAAACCGUACAAUCUAUGUCGGUUUGAUCCAAUGGCCCAUAUUCACUUGAAGGGACUAUAAAACCAGACCCCCUGGCCCCUGGAGGAGAGAGCCUCUCAACCCUAAUUCAUUGUUCCAUCAAGGGAGAAGAAGCCUCUGAUCAAGAUUAGAGCCACCACAUCAAUUAGAUAUAUAGAUUAGCAUAGCUACAUAGGAUUAGAACUAGAAGGAGUCAAUCUUCGAUUGGUUUCCAGAUCUGUCAAGAGGAUUCUUGGUAAUUCUCUAAUUGUGCUUCUAAUUGCUUUCUAAUUAUCUUUGUUGUUCAAUAUUAUGAAUAUGACUUUGUUCUACUUCAAUAUAUUGCUUAUGACUUUGCUCUACUUGCUUCUAUUCAAGAUUAUAUUGUUCUUAGUUUAUCAUAGUUAUGUACUUGGCUUAGUUAGAUUGGAUCUAUAUACAUGUUUAGGAUCGUAUAGCGUUUAUCCAUCGGAUCCAUGGGUAAAUGAUAGAUAUUGUGUAGGCGUGGUGCUUAUACCGUAUUUAUCUGCGAUUGUACCCAAUAUGCCAGAUCGUGGGGUGGUUCGUGAUAGUGACAGCUUCAUUGAUUCUUAUAUAGUCCCCCUCUCAUGUAUUGGGCUGGCAGAGCAACAUUAUUACAGGGGAGUGAUUGCUAUGUUUCUCAUAUUCCUUGCUAAUAUCACUAUGCAUGGGCGUAGUCUUGUCUCGCAAUGAUUGCUAAGUAUGCUUGCACUAACUAUGAUAUGCUAGACUAUAUAGUUGAGAAUAACUUAGGGAAUAUUCUUGUAGUUCGUUCUAAUACCAUGCUAAUGACUUUCUAGAGUAUCUAAUUGAGGUGCUUAUCAUAUUUAUUAUGUGGCUAGAUUAGAUUAAUUAUCCUUGUCACUAUUAUUAUUUAAUAUAUCUUUUAUGUGAAACUUAUCCCUGUAUGAAGAGUUAGAUAAAUGUUCUCAAUUAUACAUGCAAUGAUAGAUGCUCAAUCUUAUAUUCUAUUCUGUAAUCAAUAGUGAUGAUUGCUAAUCCCUUCCCAGUGGUAAAAAUAUAAAUAACGAUACCUGGAAUACUUCCCGGUUAAAAUGCUACAUCGGUAUUAAUCUGUGCGCUUGCAGAUCCCAUUCAUUAUUUAUUUAGAAGAGCAAUUGCAUAUUUCAAUACCGCGUCUCUUAUAUCAUGCUGGGGAUGACAACUUGGCUUAAGUGGUGUGAGGGAUAGGUUUGGCAUUUUUGGCACCGUUACUAGAUUUAGAGAACUUAGUCUACUUUUGGUAAUGAUGUUAAGAAUACCCAACAAGCAUUUUUGGCGCCGUUGCCGGGAAAGGUUGAUUACCAAUCAGGAAUGGAAUAAAAGAUUUUGAGUUAUCAUUCGCAUCACUAAUAUGAUUGAGCUUAUCUAUUCUCUCAUACAGUUUUACCCCGAUAUUUUUCUAUUUUAUCUUAUGCAGGGGAAUGUAUGAAUAGAAGACAUCUUCUAGGAAAUUUUGUUGACAAUCCCGAAGCAUUAUUCAAGAAGACGAGAGCCAAGAAGAAAUCAUCAACACUUCACGAAGAAGCUUCAUCCAAUCAAGAAGAUCACCAGAACUUGUCUUCAGAGUUCGAAGCCAUGGCAAACAAAUCAAUCCGCGAGUUCUCAGCUCCCACUACGGACAACAUCCGCACUGGACCUGCUGUAGAGAUCGAUGGCAACUUUGAGCUCAAGCCUGGACUUAUCAACAUGGUGCAAUCAAACCAGUUCUGUGGGAAGGCACACGAAGAUGCUAGUGCUCAUUUACAUCACUUCCUGGAGAUUUGCAACACAUUCACCAUAUCAGGAGUUUCCAAAGACGCUAUACUACUUCGCCUCUUCCCAUUCUCACUGUUAGCAAGAGCGAAGCAGUGGUUCUACGCUACAAAGGAGAAGAAUACUACGUGCGCACUCUGCUCAACAAACUUCCUGGCAAAGUUCAUUCCCAUGGGCAAGACCAAUGCUCUCCGUGGGAAGAUUACAAGUUUUCAGCAACAAAAUGAUGAAUCUGUUCCAGAAGCAUGGGAGCGCUUUCAAGACUACAUCCUAGAAUGUCCCCAUCAUGGAAUGGAGAGUUGGCUACUGAUGCAGACGUUUUAUCAUGGGCUCGGCAACAGUGCCCGAGAGACCAUGGAUGCUGCAGCUGGAGGAGCAUUCUUAUCACUUACUAUACCACAAGCCACAGCUCUUGUGGAGAAGAUGGUGUCCAAUCAAAGCUGGAAUGAAGAGAGGACCCAGACACGCAAGAGAGGCGGAGGUAUGCAUCAGCUGAAGGAGGUAGACAUGCUGUCUGCAAAGCUAGACCUGCUCAUGAAGAAGCUCGACGAUAGAGCUGGAGACAAGAAAGAAGUUAUGCACAUCUACGACUCUCACAUGACUUGUGAGGAGUGUGGAGACACUGGACACUCAGGCAACCACUGCCCUGAGAUGCUUGAGGAUGUGAACUACAUCAACAAUUACAACAACAACUACUACAACCGUUCUCAACAAAAUCAAGGUUGGAAUCAACAGAGGCCUAACUACUCAUGUAAUUAUCAAGGUAACAAUUCUUAUAACAAUACUAAUAAUUUUCCACCUUUGAGAGAGUUAGUGUCUAAUCAAGGUAAGCUAAUGGAUAACCUAUCUAAGAAAUUGGAAUCUAAUGAUAAAAUGCUAGAAAAUAUAAAUAAUAGAAUGGAUAAUUUCUCUACUGCCAUCAAGAAUCAAAUUAGCUUUAAUAAAAUGAUUGAAUCCCAGUUAAAUCAAAUAGCUGCUGCCGUUCCUACUACUAACCCCGGUAUACCAUCACAACCGGAAGGAUUAGAAUCUGCAAAUCUUGUAGACAUGUUUGAUGCAGGUAAUUGGAGUAACCCCGUCACUUAAUUCUCUACUGACCUUAUGCCGGUCAAGAGAGGCGAUCCAGGACGCCCCGUCAUCCCGAUCUCCAUCGGCAUGGUGGACGUUCCAGAAGCACUCUGCGACUUUGGCUCCAGUGUCAACAUUAUACCCAGGGUACUCUAUGAAAAAUUCUUUACAUAUCCUUUAUUAGAAACAACCAUGUGUUUGCAGUUUGCAGAUCAGACGAUAACUUUUCCAAAAGGAAUAUUGAGGAAUCUUUGUGUCCGAGUUGGUACCUUAUAUGCCCCAGCAGACUUCGUAGUGGUAGAGACCGGAAAUGAUGAGAGAGCACCCAUCAUCUUAGGGAGGCCAUUCUUGAACACCACGGGAGCUAUCAUCUACGCUAGUGCUGCCAAGAUCAGUUUCUACGUCAAAGGGGAGAAGGAGACAUUUUUCUUCAAGAACAAGACUACACAAAUUCAAGAUCAAUCCAGACGUAAAUUAAGGAAGAGGACCAACAGGAGAAACAGGAACAAGCAAGUGUGGACCGAGUCAGCUAAGAUGGUCACUGUAGUUCAUGGAGGCCAAGAUCAACAACUUAAGUCACCAUUUGUGACCAAGAAGGACGACCCAGGAAUGCCAAGCAUUUACUGCUCCAUACAUGGAUAUAGCUUCUACAAGACGAUUUGUGUCACCGGAUCGGGCGUCAACAUAAUGGCCGCAGUCACGUAUCGGCUCUUGUUCGGGACCAUGCCACUAAGACCAACAUACAUUCAACUCCAGAUGGCAGAUCAGACAUUCCGAGAAGUCAAAGGAAUAGUAUCUGAUGUCCCAGUCAAAAUAGACGAUCACUUUGUCUACACAGACUUUAAAGUUAUUGAUAUGGGAGAAGAUGAAUACGAUCCACCCAUCAUCCUUGGAAGACCGUUCCUUAGCACCGUCAAAGCAAUUAUCUACAUUGGAACCGGAGAAGUCCAUAUGCACUUCCCCUCAGAGAAGGUACGCCGUUACUUUACUGACCCUAACUAUAUCGUUGAAGAAUCUAAGCGGGUAAGGAAAAGACGCAACCGCAACCAGAGGAGGCAGAUCAUCAGGGACGGAUGGGCAGACUAUGAAGGAGAAGUUGUAAGAUCAGAAGACAUAGAGUUUAAACAGAAUUAUCCAGAGGAGAUUGAAGCACCGAGUCAGGUAUGGAAAAUGAAGAUAACUAUACAAGAAGAGGAGGCGCUGCCGGAAGUACCGACUACGCCACCCAACGAGCCUCAGGACGAUUAAGAGAAUGGAGAGUCCCGUUCGGAGGACUUAAAAACACCGAACGCCUUGCCAAGAGGUAAACUUGGUAGUUAUCCUUUCCCUUUCAAUUAUUCAAAUAGUUUACUUAGUUAAUUAAGUUCACACUAUCCUAAAAAGAAAAAAAAAAUAUGAAAAACUAUAAGCCUCAUGUGAGUAGACGAGUGGCAUAAAACCCAUAAGUACAUUCACUGUGGUGGCAUAAAAAUAAAAUAAAUAUUUUUCUGCUUUAUAAAAACAAAAAUAUAAAAACAGGGAGUAAUAAUUAUUGAGGAGUCUCAACAUAAUAAAGGCUAGAUAUUUAUGCUAACACUUAAUCAGUUCCACAAGCUUUGUUGUCUAUUUGAGCUCCACAGAAUUUAAGAAUCAAGAAGACUAGCAGACGGAGGACAUUCUAAUCGCUGUCAGAAUGCUGCUGACUUUCAAAUACACCUUUGCCACCUGCUAGCUACAUCAAGAGAAAUUACGUCAAAAUUCAGCUUGGGGGAGAGCACCCCCAUUUAUCUCGCUAAGUAUUUCUAUCUAUCUUUAUACUUAUAUUAUAUUAGAAUAUUAAAAUACAUAGCUAUAAAAAAACCAUAUAAAGAGUUUGUGCUUAUAUAUAUAUUGGUCUUUUGCUUAGUAUGUUUAAUAAAUAAAUAAAGUGGCUAUGCUAAUCUGUAUCUAAAUAAAACUUAAGCAUGGAUAUGAUGAAUAGUUGCUCUGCCUAAUUUGCACAUUUUAAGUUCUCUCUCAUGUUUAGAUAUAACUGUUAUAAUUUAAGGCUUGCUCUAGACCUAAACUUGUGGGAUGAAAACUUGAUCUGAAGUCUAAGUUGUUAACGGAUAUGAUAUGGGAAGGUUGAGCUGUUGUUUAUCUGUUCCUAGAGAUGCUAGAAUUCUGGAGAAUUUUAUUUUUGAAAAUCUUUAAAAUGUUGCAUGAUGAGUUCCUGUAUGAUGAGAGUUUAAAUUCCUACCACAGCCAUAUAUACAUGCUUGCUAGACUUUGAGCCACACAUUUAAUAUUUACUGCUUAUGAGCAUUGAGUGUGGUCAAGCUGUGUAGACCCUUAGGAGCUUGUCAUGUGGUUAAAUCAAGAUUUCACUUGCACGUUCACUCAUAUAUGCUACUUCUACUCCGGAAGUACCAUCCACAUAUAUCCAUCCAUUUCCAUCUCCAGAAUCACCCAAAAAUAUUCUACUCCUAAUCCGGGAGAGAAUAACCAAAAAUAUUUAUGUUUCCCCUUGUGAAAUAAAUGCUCAAGUUAUCUUGUUACUACCACUUGCUAUAUUAUCUCAAGAGAUGAAUGCUCUGAAAAAAAAGAGAAAAAGAAAAAAGAUACGAGGAAAUAAAAAGGAGCAAGUGCUCGGAACCUCGAAAGAAAAGAAAAAGUGAGACGAGAGGUAAAAAUGGACAAGUGUCCGACAGUAGAAUUAGGGGUACAAGAUACCCACCUGAGAGGAAAGAAAAAGAAGAGCAUCUCAUUCUCCUCAUAAAGUUUCAAAAAGCAAGGAAGGUAUGUAUCCCCUCAAAGAGCAAAGUAGAAUUAGACUUCCACCACCAUUGUUUCCACCAUUCUUAUCACCAUUAUCAUCAUACACCAUUCAUUCGCCACACAUGCACAUCUUGAUUUGGCUUAUUGAUUUGUUUCUUUGGAUCCAUGGUUUGACUAUGCAAUAAAUGUCUUGUAAGUAUGUAUAUUUUAUCUCCCACCUAUGAGCUCCAGAUAUUAAAGCCUUAUUAGAGUAGGGUGAGAGAGAAGGCAAUGUCACUAUGCCUCAAACCACAAAUACUACAUAUCUUGAGAGAAGGCAUAUACCAUCACUGCCUUGGUAAGGAUCCAAAAAUACCACAAAAGAGAGACCAGAGAGAAUCAUACAAGGAAUCUCUGAGUUUUAUUUGAAAAUCUACAAAAACCCCAGAGCUAUAGCUGAUCAAGAAUGAUAGACAUGGCACUUGGCUAGACUGUUCUAUCUUUUAACUACUCAAGAUAGAAGUGACGGUUACAAGUCCCAUGGUGAAGGUAAAGUAAGUAAGUUUUAAGUCUUGACAGUUUACUCUAACUCAGAGAUGAGAUCUUAUUUAAGAGCAUGUGUACCAUCAAUUUUUUAAAGAUAUUGCAACAACUUAUGAUCCAUAGCUGAGUCUAUCCUUGCUCAGGGACGAGCAAGAGGUAAGCUUGGGGGAGUUUGUUGACGGUCCUUAAGUAUCAAAUAAAUAAAGAAAAGGAUCCAAAUGAAAUCAACAUCUAGAUUUAGGGUUUUAUCUGAUAGAAUUCCACGAGUUUUGGUGUUUGUCUAUAUCUGCAGGGGGUUAUCAGGAAAUAUGGUAGAAAGGCCCACACGUCGGGAUUACGUAAAGAUAUUAACGUGCCGCGCAAUUAUCUUACAUCUAGAAGACUCCAGAAGCCACGAGACCGAAGCGGAGGCGAAACAGGGCCUGACCCUGGGCGCCCGCCCAGUUGGUCAGGGCGCCCGCCCUGCCCCUGAGUCCAAUCAGGACUCUGCUUUGCGGGAGAUUUCCACCGACCUAAAGGAUGAAUCUAAACCAUACUGUCAGCGUCUAGACUCACGGUCUAGGCACUAACAAGUAUAAGUCUGCGUGACUGACCAAGCUUGGAUGGUGAUGCAAGUGAGACACAGAGAGUUUAUGCUGGUUCGGGCCGAGGAUGCCCUACGUCCAGUGUGGCGGUGGAUUCUGUAUAACCUUGCACCCAAAGGUGCUUGCAGUAGGGGGUACAAGCUGGUUGCGAGAGAGGGCUAAGUCCCAGGUCUCGGCUUGGUGUGGACAGAGUGCGGGCUGUUGCUCUGUGAAAGAGUGUGGUGUGCGUGCGUGUUUUUCUGAACCUGUGCGUUCCCUCCUUAGUUGUGAACCCUGGCUCCCCUUUUAUAGUCCCAAGGGAAGGCCAGGUAUUUACAUGAGUAGAUUUCUUUCAUUGAAGGGUGAAAACACAGUCCCGACCCUGUUGAGGCUGGUCCAUCUCGUCCUUGAGGGAUGGUUGACAGCAUGGCUACUCCUGUAGAGGGUUACCGAACCCUGUAGGGGUCACGGGGUCGGAUCGCCGGUACUGCUGCAUAUCCUGUCAACAGUGGGAAAUGACCGCAAAUAGUGGUGCUGAUUUACCUCACCCAUUCCCUUUCUAUUGUGCGGUAGCGUGCUACAGUGAACAGGGGUAGGGGUGUAUAGUGACAGAGGUUAGGCCACAGUGACCGGGGUGGUUGAAACAGUCAUCGCCUUGCCCUGCCGCGUUAUGGGGGCCGUCGCGUCCGUCAUGUCGGGGGAAGUCUUGUUACCCAGGUGGAGUGGGGUCCGAGACCCUGAGAGGUCGGGCGAGUCGGAACUGGCGUCCGAGGCCCUGAGGGGUCGGGCGAGUCGGAACUGGCGUCCGAGGCCCUGAGGGGUCGGGCGAGUCGGAACUGACGUCCGAGGCCCUAUCGGGUCGGGCGAGUCGGAACUUGCAUCCGAGGCCCUGAUGAUUGUAAUUAGUAUGUUUUUUUUGUGUCUUUUAGCUGCUCUGAUUUGGGUACCCCUUAUUAUGAUACCCAACAGUAGCCCCCGAGCCUCUGAAGGGGUAGGUUUUCCUCUUUAGAGGUUCCUUCCCCGGGGACUGCUUUGUAGCUGACUAGGAGCCUUUCACUCUUCUCCGGGGGGUGCGCGCGAGCGCACCUGCCGGGUGUAGCCCCCGAGCCUUUUGGAGGAAUGGUGUCAUUCCUUCAAAGGCUUUCACUCCUUGACGGCUUUAGUUUGGAGUGUUUCAAGGGAUAGGUUGCGUGUUCUUUACACGUAGUGCCUGUUCCCAUGGUGCGAGGAAGUCCCCGAGCCCUUUCCCCGUAAGGGUCGAUCAGGUUCUUUCUCGUCUUGUAAUUACGUCCCUCAUUCUUCCUUUCGCUCGGAGGAGGGGUGGGUCGUGCCGUACUACCCUCGACGGGCGAGUGACGACGCUUCCCGGGAGCUGCAGGCGGGUAAAUCCAAGUGGAUGUCCGAGUCCCGUUCGAUAGGGGUCGGCUAGUGGCCUUAUGGGCACAUCUCAAAAAGUACCCGAGGGCAGUCACGGUGGAUGUCGGAACCGUUCGCUAGGUCCCGAGGGCUCGAUGCCUCCCUCGAUGCGAUCCCACUCUAGUGACACCCGCAUGGGUCUCGGAUAUGACUUGCAAAGAUGCGCCGACUCCCUGUAGGGUUCGGACCUUGGCCUCUAUUGUGCUCAUCUUCAGUCAUCCCUCGCUCAGUUAUCCUGAGGCGACUGUUCGAACCUGCGUUGCAGGUCAGUCUCGCAACCUCUGGAACGUAGGUGGCCAUGGCCUGGGGAUUUUAGGCCUCGAAAGGCUUUUUUCAGACUCGUUUUAUAAUGUUAGGGGUCGGGCGAGACGGAGAACUGCGCCCGACGGAGACCGCCUUGCGACGCUUGGUUAGCGAGGGGGGUCGACGCUUCCCCUGGAAGGAACCGCCCUGACAUAACUUUUCAGGGCGCUCCUUUUGAGGCGCGGCGCGUGGGGACUCAAAACGGCCGUGCCGUCUUGCCCCGGCUGGAUGGGACGUUUCGUCUGUGAAAUUAAUGCACGCGUGCGGCGGGCGCGGGAAUCGGAGGGACUUGGCGCUUCGAGUUUUUCACCUGAGUGGGCGACGGUUGCUCUCUUUCUCUCUCUUGGCCUUCCUCGCAGGGGCGUGGUCGUGGCUCGCCCCUUCUAUAAAAGCGGCUACUGGGGGCUUGAUUUCUUUCCUCUCGCUCCUGCGCCGCCAAGCCUUUGCCUCCUACUCUUCCUUGUGCCGCCGUCCACUCCACUUUUACUACGCAGACUUUCCUCUUCCUCCUGAAGCCUUGGCUGGCAUCGAGGCGUGGCCGCCCAGCAAUGUGACCAAGUCCGCGCUGGAGGCGCGCGUGAAGGCCGGGAUUCUCCGUCCUCUCAAGGACGUCGGGUUCCCGGAGUGGAUCGUUCCCUCGGCGAACGACAGGGAGCCAAACCCGCCGCCGGGCUAUGUGGUGUGCUUCCUGUCGUUCCUAGACUGGGGGUUCGGAGUUCCGGCCGGCCGCCUGAUCAGGGCCAUCCUCCACCACUACGAGGUGGAGUUACAUAACCUAAACCCAAACAUGGUGAUGCAGGCUGCCGUCUUCACCACGGUCUGCGAGGGGUUCCCGGGUGUUCCGGUCAACUGGAAUCUCUGGCUCCACAUCUUCAAGGCGGAGAUGUCGGCUCGUUACGUGGGGAAGGAGAAAUUCCCCCUGCGGGCCGGCUGCUGCACGCUGCAGCUUCGUCAGCAGCGGGCCGGGCUGUACAUAUGGAGCUCGAUGACUUCGCCGAACCGGGGGUGGCAGAGCGGGUGGUUCUACCUCCGGAACGACGGCGGCCUGCUCCCGAAGUUCACCGGGAAGAUGGUGACGGAGGUUCUCAUGAAGUGGGCGUGGGGCGCUCCGACCGAGGAGCAGAAGAGGCUCGCCCCGCUUCUCGCGGGGCUUCAGAAGUUGUGAGAUGCCGAAGUCACUGCGGCCACGAUGGCGACUGCCUUCCACAAGAGGAGUUUGCUUCCGCUGGCGCAGCGGCGAGUGCCCAUGUUCGAGAUGACCCGGGGGGUCCCCUGGGCAGGGACGAGGAUGUUGGCCGAGCCGCUAUCGGCCUCGGACAUCGCCGCCCGGGUCGAGAAGACGACGCACCCAGAGAAGAAGAAUUCUCGGGUGGUGCCGAUGCGCCCUGAAAAGGGCUACAUUUCCCUGGUAAGUAUGGAUUUUUUGCGCCUUCUUAUCAUUUCCUUCUCGUCAUGUCCUUGACUCCCGAUCAUUCGCAGAGGAUGGGGGUCGUCAAGGACUCCCUACCCCCUGUCCCAGAGGACAAGGAGAUCCGGGCCAAGAAUCGGGCUCGGAACGAGGAGCAGAAGAAGGCCAAGGAGGACAAGAAGGCCAAGGCAGCGCGGAAAGCGCAGCGGCGGGAGAUCUCCGCCAAAAAUCAUCGUGAAGCCGAGAAGGCAGGGGUCGCCCCGCCCCCCUCUCCCGAGACUUCGGUCUCGGAGAUAGAGGGCGGGGGCGGCGACGUCGACUGGCUUGACGAGCUGAUGGAGGAGGACGAAGUUAUCCCUCCGGCCGGCGGGGGAAUCGAGGCCCCGGAGGGGUCGAAGACCCGAGGGGGGUCGGAGGCCCCCCAGGGGGCCCAAGCGCCGGGGGGCGGGCAGGCCGCCCCCCACAUUAUUGUGGAUGAUGAGGACAGCGCCCCUCGUGAGGGUUCAGCCCCGGUGGGUCCUCAAGAAGGGGGGAAGGCAUCGGAGGCUGGAUCCAAGGCGCUACCUCAAACGGUAGUGCCAGAGGCUCCGGCUGAGCCCGCCCCAGCGUCCGGGGCGGGAAUUGGUGCCCUGGUGGAGGCGUCGCAGGCUGAGACCGCCGUGGUGUCUCCUGCGCCGUCGGCAGGCGAGGCAGGGGUCGGACCGGCGGCCCCUGGCGCCGCGGGAGGUCCCCUAGGAGCUCCGAGCUCCCAGAAGAAGUCUGCUCCCCGAGCGAGGUAUGUAUAGGAUUUCUGGUUCCUCUGCUGGUUUUUUUGUUUUUCUCUUUCUUCUAACUUGGUGUUGUUUCCCCAGCCGUAAGCAAAAGGCACCUUCGGUGGCACUGGCCCCCCUGAAAGCUGUGAAGAGGGGGGCUCAGUCAACUCCCGGGUCGGCUAGGCCCGUGUCUCCGCCGCCUCCAGGCUACGAGGAGGCAGGGCGCCACCCGGGGCAAGACACGGGGUCGCCGAAGCCCCAAGGACCGGAGGACGCUGACCUCGGAGGCGCGGCCCGUCCUGCGUGCUAUCGUGGUGUCCAGCGCGGCGCCCGAGGCCCCCGCGGCGGGGAGGGAGGAGGAAAUCGGAUGGGGCAAGAGCCCCGUAAUCUGGCCCAACCUCGGCGAUGAUGAGGAGGGAGCCAGAUUUGUCCUGGACGACCCGUCAGAGAGUUACCUCUGGCAGGGUCUGGAUGCGUGUGGGCGCGCCGGUGUCGAGGCCCUCAACCGAGCUACCCAGCUCGUGGGUCGUGACAUGUUUAAUUUGGCUCAGGUAAGAUUUUUAUCCGUGUUAUAAAGUAGUUUUGUGCUUACCUUUGCGGUACUAACCCCCUGUGUGACCUCUGAUCUUGCAGGCGCUCAAGGCCACCUCCCAGGAGAAAUCGGUAUUUCUCCAUCGGGAGAACGAUGCUUGGGCGUCCUUUGAGAAGGAGAGGGCUGCCAGAGAGGCGGCCGAGGGGGAGCUCGCGAAGGAGUGCGAGAUUUCUGCCGAGCUUCGGCAGAAGUGCUCGGUACUGGCCAACGAGGCUCGGGAGGCCCGGGACAAGGUCGCCCCCCUGGAGGAUAAGAUUGGGGACCUCGCACAGGAAACCGAGGCGCAAAAGGCGGCGGCUGAGGGGUACAGGGGUGAGGUCGCUCGGCUUGAAGCUUUGCUCGCCGAGAAAGACCUUGCCUUGAACCAAGCUCAGACCGACCUGUCCGGGGCUCUGAGCGAGGUGGCCCGCUGGCAUCAGAGCUCGGCGGAGCACGAGAAGCGUGCCGAGGGUAAGACUUGCGCCCUUUACCCUGGACUCCUUUAUACUUUUUGAGUUAGCUUUUCCUGACUUCCUGUUUCUUGUUCUGUUUUUUCGAUCAGAUUUGGAGAGGAAGGUCGUCGAGGCGGCCUCUGCCGCCGAGGCCCUGCAAAGGUCCCUCGACGCCGAGGCUUCAGACCGCUCGGCUCUUGAAGCCGUGGUCACCUCGGCGUGUGGGGGGCUCGGGGUAUCGGCGUCGGGGUCGUCGCUGCGGAGUCGGGUCGAAGCCCUUUACUCCCGGGCUGGGGAGAGGAUGAAGGAGGCACUCCACGCCGGGGUGAUGAAAGCCCUGGCGGUGGUGAGCUCUCACUAUGGCAGUAUUGAUUUGCCAGCAGUCUGUGAGGGCUACGUCCUCCCGGAUGAUGAGGCUGAGGCCCAGGAGGAGGUGCAGAGGCUUGAAGACACCGUGGCUAUCCCCGGAGAUGCUUUGGCCACCUUCUUCGACGACGAGGUGGAGCUUCCGCCCCUUGGGGCUCUAGGACCUGAGUAGACAGGGCAGCAGGACCCUUAGGUUUCUUUUCUUUUUGUGGGUGUUGAGGCCGGUGGGCCUUGUAACAUAUAUAUAUAUAUAUAUAAUGUUAAUGUCGAAUGUAAAUAUAACUGCUCUUUUUUGGCAUUUUCCCUAAGUAUCUUAUUUCCUUUCUCUUUAUACCGAUCCGACCUCAGCAGCGUGGGGGUCGGGUGAGCUACUUAGAGUUAUCGCGUAGGCCGGAGUCCCCAAGCCUAAGUGCUUUUCCUUUUUCCUUAGUAACUCUUGGAAGCCCGAAUUCGUUCCCGAAUCUAAGGUGAGUUGAGGCAGUCUUUGCUCGUGAGCGCAGAUCCUUCCUCGGGCUCAUGCCUUAAGAUUUAGGGGACGGAUUUUCGGUUUCUUGAGUCUUUUUAGGAAGGAGGAGGAAAACCUUGGGUCGGGGUUCUUUUAACUUGUGCGAAAAAAGAAAAAGAUUCGGAGUCGACAUAGGGGGUUCCCCCCAUGUAGCCCCCGAGGGAGGUUCGGACUCUGCUCGGCAGGUCCGAGGCUCUCUGAUAACUUAAACUUUGAUUUAUUCCUUGGAGGCAAUGGAUGAACAAAGAAAUUUUUACAAAGCUCUAAGGGAAAAAGCGACGUAGCUGUUCUAUGUUCCAUGCGUUUUUGAAGACCUCCCCUGUUUCAUUGGCGAUCUUGUAGGUCCCGGGUCGGAGGACUUCGGCGAUGACGUAGGGUCCUUCCCAGGGGGUGUGAACUUGUGACGACCCUUGUUGCUCUAUCUGAGCCUUAGCACCAAGUCGCCGACUUGAAAUGCUCGGCCUCGGAUCCGCCGCGCAUGGUAUCGGCGGAGGGCCUGCUGGUACUUGGCGGAGUGCAGGAGGGCUACGUCCAAGGCUUCGUCGAGCUGGUCCAGCACGUCUUCUUGGAACGUCUUGCCGCUGUUUUCGUCGUAGGCUUGUACCCUUGGAGACCCGUACUCUAGGUCAGUGGGGAGGAUGGCUUCCGACCCAUAGACCAUGAAGAACGGGGUGAAGCCCGUGGCUCGGCUUCGGGAGGUUCUCAGACUCCAGACGACGGUCGGUAGCUGUUUGAGCCACCUUUUCCCAAACUUGUUCAGGCGGUUGAAGAUCCUGGGCUUCAAGCCCUGGAGGAUCAUGCCAUUGGCGCGCUCGACCUGACCAUUGGUCUUGGGGUGAGCGACUGCCGCCCAGUCCACAUGUAUGUGGUGUCUGUCACAGAACUGUAGGAACUUUCGUCCGGUGAAUUGUGUGCCGUUGUCGGUGAUUAUGGAGUUCGGCACUCCGAAUCGAUGGACGAUAUCCGUGAAGAAUAAUACUGCCUGUUCGGCCUUGAUCCUUGUGAUGGGUCGGACCUCGAUCCACUUAGAGAACUUGUCGAUUGCGACAAGCACGUGGGUGAAGCCCCCGGGCGCUUUCUGCAGAGGCCCGAUCAGGUCGAGGCCCCAGACGGCGAAAGGCCAGGUGAUGGGGAUCGUCUGCAAGGCCUGGGCGGGCUGAUGUAUCUGCCGAGCGUAAAACUGGCAUCCCUCACAGGUCCUUACGAUUUCUGUGGCGUCGGCUACAGCGGUUGGCCAGUAGAAACCCUGUCGAAAGGCAUUUCCUACAAUCGUUCGAGGUGCCGCGUGAUGGCCACAAGCCCCCGAGUGUAUGUCCUGCAGGAGCUUGACUCCUUCCUGACGUGGGAUGCAACGCAUGAGGAUGCCCGAGGGGCUGCGUUUGUACAUUUCCCCGUCGAGGAGGACGAAGGUCUUGGCACGACGGGCCACGCGUCUCGCUUCAGCCUGGUCCAGGGGCAGAGUGCCAUCGACCAGGCGUUGAAGCAAAGGGUAGCGCCAGUCAGGCGAGUCGUCAGUCGCAGGUGGCUCUGGCUCGAUGUCCAUGGCCUCCUGUUCUUGGGCGACAGCGUCUUUGGGGUCGGCACUCUAUUUGUUUUGGGGUUCAUUCGACCCCCCGUCGUCCUUGUAGUCAACGGAAGGUUUGUAGAGAUCGCUGACGAAAACAUCCGGGGGGACCAUGGCCCGCUCGGAUGCCAUCUUGGCGAGCGCGUCGGCGGCCUCAUUAUACUUCCUUAACACAUGGUCAAGUUCGAGGCCGUCGAACUUUUCUUCCAGGCGUCGAACCGCUUUGCAGUAUGCGUCCAUCUUGGGGUUAUGGCAGGUAGACUCUUUCAUGACUUGAUCGAUGAUGAGUCUAGAAUCGCCUCGGACAUCGAGCUGCUUGAUCCCAAGUUCGAUCGCGACGUGAAGACCGUUAAGGAGGGCCUCAUAUUCUGCUGCAUUGUUCGAAGCAGGGAAAUGGAGCCGGAUUGCAUAUCGCAUCCUUACCCCGAGGGGUGAGAUGAAGCCAAAACCUGCGCCGGCCCCGGUCUUCAUCAAAGACCCGUCGAAGUACAUAAUCCAGCACUCGUGCUGGAUUUGAGGUGGUGGGAGCUGAGUCCCGAUCCAUUCUGCCAUGAAAUCCGCCAGUACUUGAGACUUUAUGGCUUUCUGAGGCUCAUAAGUGAUUCCAUCGCCCAUGAGCUCUAUGGCCCAUUUAGCAAUCCUUCCGUUGGCCUCUCGGUUCUGGAUCACGUCUCCCAGAGGGAAAGAUGAGACCACUGAGACCGGGUGAGAUUCAAAGUAAUGGCGGAGCUUGCGUCGGGCCAACACCACUGCGUAGAGCAGUUUUUGAAUCUGCGGGUAUCGGGUCUUUGUGUCGGAGAGCACUUCACUGAUGAAGUACACCGGCCUUUGGACCGGCAGGGCGUGCCCUUCUUCCUUCCUUUCGACCACGAUAGCUGCGCUGGCCACCUGGUCAGUGGCUGCGACGUAGAGAAGCAGUGGUUCCCCCUCGGCGGGAGGCACCAGGAUGGGAGGGUGGGUGAGCAAAGCCUUGAGCUUGUCAAGGGCUUCCUGGGCCUCGGGGGUCCAGGAAAAGUGCUCAGAUUUCCUGAGUAUCCUAUACAGAGGCAGCCCUUUUUCUCCGAGGCGAGAAAUGAAACGGCUUAGGGAGGCUAGACAUCCCAUCACCCUCUGUACUCCCUUUAGGUUACGAAAGGGGCCCAUAUUCGCGAUGGUCGAGACCUUUUCUGGGUUGGCCUCGAUCCCCCGCUCAGACACAAUAAACCCAAGGAGCAUGCCUCGGGGGACCCCAAAAACGCACUUUUCCGGGUUGAGUCUGAUCCCUUUCGCCCUAAGGCAUCGAAAUAUUUCUUCCAGGUCAGCGACCAGGCCGCUCGCCUUCCUGGACUUGACGACGAUGUCGUCUACGUAAGCCUCUACCGUUUUGCCUAUAAGGUUCCCAAAAACCUGGAGCAUACAUCGUUGAUAUGUAGCCCCCGCGUUCUUGAGGCCAAAAGGCAUGGUUACGUAGCAAUACAUUCCGAAAGGGGUGAUGAAUGAAGUCGCGAGCUGGUCGGACUCCUUCAUUUUGAUUUGAUGGUAGCCGGAGUAAGCAUCAAGAAAAGACAAAAUUUCACAUCCCGCGGUGGAGUCAACUAUCUGAUCGAUCCGUGGUAGUGGAAAGGGAUUCUUAGGACAUGCUUUGUUUAAACUGGUAUAAUCUACACACAUCCUCCACUUCCCAUUUUUCUUUUUAACUAGAACGGGGUUGGCUAACCACUCGGGAUGGAAUACCUCCUUGAUGAAUCCGGCCGCCAGCAGCUUGUGGAUCUCCUCCCCGAUGGCCCGGCGCUUCUCCUCAUCGAAUCGGCGCAGGCGUUGCUUCACGGGUUUGGAGCCGGUUUGGAGCCAGGCAUGUCCGAGGGACCCCACGCAAAUAUGCCAGCGUUCGUGCGGAGAAAGUCGACGAGCACCACUUCCUAUUUUGGGUCGAGGCUGGAGCUGAUCCUCAACGCCUUGCCUUCGGAGGUCCCGGGGUCGAGGAAAACUAGCUUGGUCUCCUCCACCGGCUCGAAGCUCCCGGCGUGACGUUUGGGGUCGGGGACGUCCUGGUCGCAGUCGCCGAGGCCAGUGAGGAUGGCCAGAGACUCAGCCAGAGCCUCGGCCUGCUCGACGCACUCGACGUCGCAUUGGUAGGCAUGCUGACUAGUCGUGCUGACGGUGAUGAUGCCCUUUGGUCCUGGCAUCUUGAGUUUGAGAUAGGUGUAGUUGGGGACGGCCAUGAACUUGGCAUAGCACGGUCGUCCUAGGAUCGUGUGGUAGGUUCCUGGGAACCCGACCAAAUCGAAAGUGAGGAACUCCCGUCUUAAGUUGCCGGGGGUCCCGAAGCAGACAGGCAGAUCGAUCUGUCCGAGGGGGUGGGCGCGAUGUCCACGCACUACUCCAUGGAAUGGCGCUGUAUCGUUCCUCAGCCGAGACUUACUGAUCCCCAUGAGGGCCGGAGUCUCGGCAUAGAGGAUGCUGAGGCCGCUGCCUCCGUCCAUCAGCACCUUAGUGAGACGGGUCUCGGCGAUGCUGGGGUCGACGAUCAGAGGAUAACUCCCAGGAUUGGGGAUCCGAUCCGGGUGAUCCUGUCUGUCGAACGUGAUCGCGCUCUCGGACCAUUUGAGGUACGAGGGCGUGGCCGUGCUGACUGCGCAGACUUCUCGGAGUUCGCGCUUCCUCUGACUCGCAGUGAGGCGAGCCGCUCGUCCCCCAAAGAUCAGAAGGCAGUUCUUGAUCUUGGGGAAAGCCUCCCCCUCGGGGUCGUCGUCCUUGGGAGGUUCUUCGGCACUCUCCUUGGUGAUGAUGUCGGUAUAGUACCGACGGAGGACGGUGCACUCCUCGAGGGUGUGCUUGGUUGGUCCCCUGUGAUAGGGGCAUGGCUUCUUCAACAUUUCGUCGAAGAGACCGGGGCCAGCAGGAGCCCGCUUGGGGUUCUUGCGAUCUACCGCAGCGACCAGGUUGUCGUCCGACUGUCCCUGCUUCCCCUUGCGACCCUUCUUCUUCUUCUUCGGGUCGCGCGAGUCCGAGGCUUCGGUAGCCUCGGCCUUUUGUUUCCCCUUAGCUGUGCUGUCGGAGAAAAUGGCGCCAACUGCCUCUUCGCCUGAGGCAAAGUUGGUGGCGAUGUCGAGCAGCUGGCUCGUGCUUGUGGGGGUCUUGCGUCCGAGCUCGUGUACCAACUCCUUGCAGGUGGUACCGGAAAUGAAAGCUCCGAUCACAUCGGAGUCCGUUAUGUUGGGGAGCUCGGUGCAUUGUUUGGAGAAUCGCCUGAUGAAGUCUCGAAGAGACUCGUCAGGCUUCUGCCGGCAGCUCCUGAGGUCCCAGGAGUUCCCAGGGUGCACGUAUGUGCCCUAGAAGUUCCCGACAAAGAUCCUGACUAGGUCAGCCCAGUCGUGGAUCAUGCGUUCAUGGAGGUGCUCGAGCCAUGCCCUGGCCGUAUCGGCCAGGUGGAGUGGAAGGUUGCGGAUGAUGAGCAGGUCGUCAUCCGCGCUGCCUAGCUGGCAUGCCAGGCGGUAGUCCGCCAGCCAGAGCUCAGGGUUAGUUUCCCCUGAGUAAUUGGUGAGGUUGGCGGGCUGUCGGAAUCGCGCCGGGAACUUGGCCCUGCGUAUGGCCUCGCUGAAGACGCGGGGACCCGGAGGCUCUGGUGACGUGCUUCGGUCGUGAUCAGGGUCGUACCUCCCGCCUCGGCGCGGUCGGUAACGUCGGGACUCGGCCUCGUCCCUGUCACGUUGCCUGGCCUCGAGGGUUGCCCGUACGUCCGCGUCGGUUCCGAUGCGCUCGUGAACUGACGGGGCCCUGUUGCCCCCUUGUGGGUUAGGGGGUGGCAGACCCUGUACUGUUGGUGCCUUGUUAGGAGGGGGCGUUCCCCACGACGUCUCGUGCUAUGGGAUUGUGAAGCAGAACUUUUCGCGUUCUGCACCACAGCCUGCUCCAGGAGGCCACGUAGCCCCUGGCGCACUCUCCUUCCCUCAGGAGUCGAAGGCUCGGGCAUCGCCCUGAGGAGGAGCGCGGCGGCCAUCACAUUCUGGCUGGCCGUGCUGAAGACUGGGGCGUCUUCCCCUUAGUCCGCAACAAUGUGACGGUUGACGUCACGGGCGCGACGUCUGGCUUCACCCCCAUCUCCGCGGCCGGACGGCUCUCGGACCAGGGCCUCACGGAGUUGGCGAAGGCGUGUGCGCUCUUCUUCGAGCCUGGCCUCCAGCUCAUCGAGCUGUGCGAGGUCAGGGUGGUGUCCCCCAGCGGGGGCAGAUGCUACCCCACGGUCUCCGGGAUUGGUUCCGGGAGUUGGAUUGGGAGGUGGAGUUGCGUCCUCUUGCCUAGAGGGCCCUGCAUCCCCCUGGGCACUACGCGGCGUGCCUCCGACUUCUAUGUUGAAGCAUUCUCGUGACGGGUCGUAGUUUCCGUCGUCGGAGUUGGAGUAGCCGAGACAAUAGUUGUUGGCCUCCAAGAAACGCAUGAAGGUCUCCGGGUCGCCAUACCCGAAAAAGUCAGCGCCCACCCACUCGUCGUCGCCUGAGGUAGGAUCCUCAGGGUAUGGCGAAACGGGCGGCGUAGAGAUGAGGUCCAGAGUAGGCCUCGAGUGGUGCCCUGGAAGUUCCGCAUACGCACUUAGUGAAGUGCUCACGGAAGAGGCGUAGGUGGCGGCGGCAUUCCUGAGCCCAAAAGGUAACUCAGGAGGUGCCGCUACUGCUCCUUCGUGCGUAGGCGGAGGAGGACGGGACGUUGAGGCCCCUUUGUCCCCCUUGCGGGGGACGGGCGUGGGCCGUACCUUCCCCUUCGACCGGGGUGGAACGGAAGGCCGCGAUGAUCCUCUGCUGGUCCUGGGACCGGGGCUUGAUGCCCCGCGAGCACAUCCUCUAGCGCCUGUCGGGCCGGAGGAACGGGCGACCUGAUGAGGAAUAUGCGGGGGGAGGGCCGGACGGGCCCUAGCCUCAGAGGUAGGGUCGGAGAUCCUAGAUCUCUGACGCCCCCUCCGUGAACCCCCCGCAUCGUGUCCCGAACAUCUCCCACGCACUGACUGUGGCGGGAUUGGCUCGGGGCUAGGCUCGACGUCGUCACGUGGCGGGAGGAGGACCAUGUCGUAGCCGGAACCGGGGGACAUGAAUUUUAAACUCCCAAACAUCAUAAUGGUGCCGCGGCGGAGUGGGCGAAAUCCGUGUGCCAUCCAAGCCUUCCCAGUAGGGACUGGAAAGCGUCACGCAGAAGGCCCCUACCUGGCGCGCCAACUAUCGGCGUCUAGACUCGCGGUCUAGGCACUAACAAGUAUAAGUCUGCGUGACUGACCAAGCUUGGAUGGUGAUGCAAGUGAGACAUAGAGGGUUUAUGCUGGUUCGGGCCGAGGAUGCCCUACGUCCAGUGUGGCGGUGGAUUCUGUAUAACCUUGCACCCAAAGGUGCUUGCAGUAGGGGGUACAAGCUGGUUGCGAGAGAGGGCUAAGUCCCAGGUCUCGGCUUGGUGUGGACGGAGUGCGGGCUGUUGCUCUGUGAAAGAGUGUGGUGUGCGUGCGUGUUUUUCUGAACCUGUGCGUUCCCUCCUUAGUUGUGAACCCUGGCUCCCCUUUUAUAGUCCCAAGGGAAGGCCAGGUAUUUACAUGAGUAGAUUUCUUUCAUUGAAGGGUGAAAACACAGUCCCGACCCUGUUGAGGCUGGUCCAUCUCGUCCUUGAGGGAUGGUUGACAGCAUGGCUACUCCUGUAGAGGGUUAUCGAACCCUGUAGGGGUCGCGGGGGUCGGAUCGCCAGUACUGCUGCAUAUCCUAUCAACAGUGGGAAAUGACCGCAAACAGUGGUGCUGAUUUACCUCACCCAUUCCCUUUCUACUGUGCGGUAGCGUGCUACAGUGAACAGGGGUAGGGGUGUAUAGUGACAGAGGUAAGGCCACAGUGACCGGGGUGGUCGAAACAGUCGUCACCUUGCCCUGCCGUGUUAUGGGGGCCGUCGCGUCCGUCAUGUCGGGGGAAGUCUUGUUACCCAGGUGGAGUGGGGUCCGGCGCCCGUGCCUAGACGGGGUCGGGCGAAACGGAGCUUGCAUCCGAGACCCUGAGAGGUCGGGCGAGUCGGAACUGGCGUCCGAGGCCCUGAGGGGUCGGGCGAGUCGGAACUGGCGUCCGAGGCCCUGAGGGGUCGGGCGAGUCGGAACUGACAUCCGAGGCCCUGUGGGGUCGGGCGAGUCGGAACUUGCGUCCGAGGCCCUGAUGAUUGUAAUUAGUAUGUUUUUUUUGUGUCUUUUAGCUGCUCUGAUUUGGGUACCCCUUAUUAUGAUACCCAACACAUACAAUCUAUGUCGGUUUGAUCCAAGGGCCCAUGUUCACUUGAAGGGACUAUAAAACCAGACCCCCUGGCCCCUGGAGGAGAGAGCCUCUCAACCCUAAUUCAUUGUUCCAUCAAGGGAGAAGAAGCCUCUGAUCAAGAUUAGAGCCACCACAUCAAUUAAACAUCUAGAUUAGCAUAGCUACAUAGGAUUAGAACUAGAAGGAGUCAAUCUUCGAUUGGUUUCCGGAUCUGUCAGGAGGAUUCUUGGUAAUUCUCUAAUUGUGCUUCUAAUUGCUUUCUAAUUAUAUUUGUUCUUCAAUAUUAUGAAUAUGACUUUGUUCUACUUCAGUAUAUUGCUUAUGACUUUGCUCUACUUGCUUAUAUUCAAGAUUAUAUUGUUCUUAGUUUAUCAUAGUUAUGUACUUGGCUUAGUUAGAUACGAUCUAUAUACAUGCUUAGGAUCGUAUAGCGUUUAUCCAUCGGAUCCAUGGGUAAAUGAUAGAUAUUGUGUAGGCGUGGUGCUUAUACCGUAUUUAUCUACGAUUGUACCCAAUAUGCCAGAUCGUGGGGUGGUUCGUGAUAGUGACAGCUUCAUUGAUUCUUAUAUAGUCCCCCUCUCGUGUAUUGGGCUGGCAGAGCAACAUUAUUACAGGGGAGUGAUUGCUAUGUUUCACAUAUUCCUUGCUAAUAUCACUAUGCAUGGGCGUAGUCUUGUCUCGCAAUGAUUGCUAAGUAUGCUUGCACUAACUAUGAUAAUGCUAGACUAUAUAGUUGAGAAUAACUUAGGGAAUAUUCUUGUAGUUCGUUCUAAUACCAUGCUAAUGACUUUCUAGAGUAUCUAAUUGAGGUGCUUAUCAUAUUUAUUAUGUGGCUAGAUCAGAUUAGUUAUCCUUGUCACUAUUAUUAUUUCAUAUAUCUUUUAUGUGACACUUAUCCCUGUAUGAAGAGUUAGAUAUAAUGUUCUCAAUUAUACAUGCAAUGAUAGAUGCUCAAUCUCAUAUUCUAUUCUGUAAUCAAUAGUGAUGAUUGCUAAUCCCUUCCUAGUGGUAAAAAUAUAAAUAACGAUACUUGGAAUACUUCCCGGUUAAAAUGCUGCAUCGGUAUUAAUUUGUGCGCUUGCAGAUCCCAUUCAUUAUUUAUUUAGAAGAGCAAUUGCAUAUUUCAAUACCGCGUCUCUCAUGUCAUGCUGGGGAUGACAACUUGGCUUAAGUGGUGUGAGGGAUAGGUUUGGCAUUUUUGGCACCGUUGCUAGAUUUAGAACUUAGUCUACUUUUAGUAAUGAUGUUAAGAAUACCCAACAAGCAUUUUUGGCGCCGUUGCCGGGGAAGGUUGAUUACCAAUCAGGAAUAGAAUAAAAGAUUUUGAGUUAUCGUUCGCAUCACUAAUAUGAUUGAGCUUAUCUAUUCUCUCAUACAGUUUUACCCCGAUAUUUUUCUAUUUUAUCUUAUGCAGGGGAAUGUAUGAAUAGAAGACAUCUUCUAGGAAAUUUUGUUGACAAUCCCGAAGCAUUAUUCAAGAAGACGAGAGCCAAGCUAAAGAAAUCAUCAACACUUCACGAAGAAGCUUCAUCCAAUCAAGAAGAUCACCGGAACUUGUCUUCAGAGUUCGAAGCCAUGGCGAACAAAUCGAUCUGCGAGUUCUCAGCUCCCACUACGGACAACAUCUGCACUGGACCUGCUGCAGAGAUCGAUGGCAACUUUGAGCUCAAGCCUGUACUUAUCAACAUGGUGCAAUCCAACCAGUUCUGUGGGAAGGCACACGAAGAUGCUAGUGCUCAUUUACAACACUUCGUGGAGAUUUGCAACACAUUCACCAUAGCAGGAGUUUCCAAAGAUGCUAUACUACUUCGCCUCUUCCCAUUCUCACUGUUAGGAAGAGCGAAGCAGUGGUUCUACGCUACAAAGGAGAAGAAUACUACAUGGGCACUCUGCUCAACAAACUUUCUGGCUAAGUUCUUUCCCAUGGGCAAGACCAAUGCUCUCCGUGGGAAGAUUACAAGUUUUCAGCAACAAAAUGAUGAAUCUGUUCCAGAAGCAUGGGAGCGCUUUCAAGACUACAUCCUAGAAUGUCCCCAUCAUGGAAUGGAGAGUUGGCUAUUGAUGCAGACGUUUUAUCAUGGGCUCAGCAACAGUGCCCGAGAAACCAUGGAUGCUGUAGCUGGAGGAGCAUUCUUAUCACUUACUAUACCACAAGCCACAGCUCUUGUGGAGAAGAUGGCGUCCAACCAAAGCUGGAAUGAAGAGAGGACCCAGACACGCAAGAGAGGUGGAGGUAUGCAUCAGCUGAAGGAGGUAGACAUGCUGUCUGCAAAGCUAGACCUGCUCAUGAAGAAGCUCGAUGAUAGAGCUGGAGACAAGAAAUAAGUUAUGCACAUCUACGACUCUCACAUGACUUGUGAGGAGUGUGGAAACACUGGACACUCAGGCAACCACUGCCCUGAGAUACUUGAGGAUGUGAACUACAUCUACAACAACAACUACUACAACCGUCCUCAACAAAAUCAAGGUUGGAAUCAACAGAGGCCUAACUACUCAGGUAAUUAUCAAGGUAACAAUUCUUAUAACAACAAUAGUAAUUUUCCACCUUUGAGAGAGUUAGUGUCUCAUCAUGGAAAGCUAAUGGAUAACCUAUCUAAGAAAUUGGCAUCUAAUGAUAAAAUGCUAGAAAAUAUAAAUAAUAGAAUGGAUAAUUUUUCUACUGCCAUCAAGAAUCAAAUUAGCUUUAAUAAAAUGAUUGAAUCUCAGUUAAAUCAAAUAGCUGCUGCUGUUCCUACUACUAACCCCGGUAUACCAUCACAACCGGAAGGAUUAGAAUAUGCAAAUCUUGUAGACGUGUUUGAUGCAGGUAAUUGGAGUAACCCCGUCACUGAAUUUUCUACUGACCGUCUGCCGGUCAAGAGAGGCGAUCCAGGACGCCCCGUCAUCCCGAUCUCCAUCGGCAUGGUGGACUUCCCAGAAGCACUCUGUGAAUUUGGCUCUAGCGUCAACAUUAUACCCAGGGUACUCUAUGAAAAAUUCUUUACAUAUCCUUUAUUAGAGACAACCAUGUGUUUGCAGUUUGCAGAUCAGACGAUAACUUUUCCAAAAGGAAUAGUGAAGAACCUUUGUGUCCGAGUUGGUACCUUAUAUGCCCCAGCAGACUUCGUAGUGGUAGAGACCGGAAAUGAUGAGAGAGCACCCAUCAUCUUAGGGAGGCCAUUCUUGAACACCACGGGAGCUAUCAUCUACGCUAGUGCUGCCAAGAUCAGUUUCUACGUCAAAGGGAAGAAGGAGACAUUUUUCUUCAAGAACAAGACUACACAAAUUCAAGAUCAAUCCAGACGUGAAUCAAGGAAGAGGACCAACAGGAGGAACAAAGACAAGCACGUGUGGACCGAGUCAGCUAAGAUGGUCACUGUAGUUCAUGGAGGCCAAGAUCACCAACUGAAGUCACCGUUUUUGACCAAGAAGGACGAUCCAGGAAUGCCAAGCAUUUACUGCUCCAUACAUGGAUAUAGCUUCUACAAGACAAUUUGCGACACCGGAUCGGGCGUCAACAUAAUGGCUGCAGUCACCUAUCGGCUCUUGUUCGGAACCAUGCCACUAAGACCAACAUACAUUCAGCUCCAGAUGGCAGGUCAGACAUUUCGAGAAGUUCAAGGAAUAGUAUCUGAUGUCCCAGUCAAAAUAGACGAUCACUUUGUCUACACAGACUUUCAAGUUGUUGACAUGGGAGAAGAUGAGAAUGAUCCACCCGUCAUCCUUGGAAGACCGUUCCUCAGCACCGUUUGUAACACCCCAGUGUUAUGGUUGCAUCAAGCAUGUGCAUGGCAUGAGCAUCAUCAUUUUUUUCAAAGCAUCCAUGAUCAUCAUCUAUCUUGAGACAUGUCAUUCUUUGCAAAGAUGUGGUUUAAAUUGAUUAAAUAGGCUUCCUAUGCUUAUGUUUGAGUGAACAAUGCUUGUGUUUGUGCUUAAUGUCUUGGUAAUUAGUUUAGCUAUGUUUAAAUUGAUCUUGGGAACAAUGUUCAUGUUGGUCAUUUUUCCAAAAUAUGCUUCUAAGUCAUACUUAUGAAAAUAGGCCCUAGAAACCUCUUUUGCUUAGGCUUUUAAAAAGUGUUUCAUAAAAUGUUUGCAUGUCAAACAUUUCUACAGCAAAGUUGUAGCAAAUUUUAUAAGGAACAAAAGUUGUUUUAUGGCCAUCUCAUGAAAAUGAACACAAAUAGCUCAAAAGUGGUCCACAAGGCAGAUUUGGGGCUGUUUUCAACACUUAGAAAAUUUUCUAAGUCCUGGGUGCUUUGCAGUUUGCUCGAUCGGUUUUGGAAACUCUAUAUCUUUCAAUCCAGGCCGAUCUGGCCUUUGCUCCAGUUGACAAAGUUGUAGAUCUCGCCUAGUACUCCAAGUUUGUCAACUACGCCAUCGCCUAAUUCGCUAUGGUUUGGGAGAUAAUCGCCGGUGAAGUGGCUCUGUCAGACGAGCACCCUUUCUUCUGAAUCGGGCCUGACCUCGUCGACGUGGCCGACCGCCGGCAGAGCUCCGUCGCCAUUUGUCGCCCGUACACCGCGUUUGGCCCCGCUUGUCAGCUUCCGUCACGUGCAUGACCUCCACGGCGGCGCCCCGAGCGAGUGGACGCGUCCACUUCGCUCUGCCUCGCCCUCUCUCGCCUGAACCUCGUCCGCAGCGAGCCCUCCGCCGCGAGCUCACUCCGGCGAGCUCGUGUGCGCUCCUCUCUGCGUCUCCGUCCACCAAACUCCACCCAAAGCUCCGCCGUGAGCCGCUCUCCAAGCUCCACCCUCUAACUCGCCGAGAAACCCACCGGUGAGCCGACAUUCCCUUCUUCCCCCAAAUCGGUCCGCCGUGACCUUCUUCUCCGGCGAACUCAAUGCCGAGCGCUGUGAGGCUUCUCAUCAUCUUUGGUUAGGUCCUAGAGGUAGCUUAGGUCCUUAGCGAGCUUUUGCGCCACCUGGUGGACGCUCUACCGGGUUCUCCGUCGCCGGACACGGUGCGCAGCGCCGCCGUGCUUCCGCCGGAGUUGGGUGCUCUCGUGGCCAGCCUUUCCACGGGGAUCCAGGCCAAGCCGCGUACCUAGGAAGCUUUGCCGUAGUCCGUUGGUGCUGUAGAAGGCCUUAGGUCGCGCUCUACCGGCCUGAGGGCUCCGGCGUAACGGCGGGCACCUCCGCCGAGCCGCCAUUGCCGACGGUGAGCCCCUUCCGGUGGCUCCGCCGUGGCAAAAGUGGGGUCAAUCGAGCCGUUAGGGUUCGGGGAUCACGUUGAUGCCCUGGGUUUGGCCGGAGACCUCGCCGUCGCGGAGAAAUCGCCGGCGAAGAUCGCCUCGGCCGUGAGGAAGAAGAGCCUGACAGAUGGGACCCACUGUCAGCGACUCUCUCUUUCCCUCCUUUUCUUUCAUUCAAAAUCCUGAUUUUUGGCUUUCUUGCAAAAAUCAUAUCUCCAGUUUCUGAGAUCCAAAAAUUGUGAAACAAAUUUUGUGGUGUUUCUUGAGAUGGCUAGUAUUUAAUAAAAAUAUAAAAUGAAUCAUAUUUUCUGAGAAAUUAUUUAUUAAGGAUUUAAUCUUGUUAUUUGUGGAUAAAUGCAUAUCUCUUGUUAUACUGCUUAGUUUGCUUUGAAAAUUUUAUGGUGGUCUUUGCAUGGCAUUGGAGUGCUCUGAUAAUUAUUUCAUGAUUUUUGGAGCACUGUUGUUGUGAUAUGUAAUUUGUGUUUGAAAUAUGGCUUGUUUCUUUAAUUAAAUCACAUAAAAUAAUUGGUGUUUAUGCUGGUGCUCUAUUUUGGUGGUGAACUUGUUUAUGGUAUUCCUAAGAUGUAAAUAAUCUGAAAUCUGUUGUUUGACACUAUAUAAGUCAUGUUUAUGAAUUUAUGAAAUAAAUGCCUUGAUACAUGUUAAAUGCAUAUCUUUAAUUUGGCAUGUGCAUUGGUCCUGAAAUCUUGUCAUGGCAGAGCAACUAUUCAUCAUUUCCAUGUGAGAGCUUAUCACAAGGGUUCAUAGCAAACUUUCUUUAUUUAUUUACGUGUUUAGCAAACAAAGAAAAGAUAUAUAUAAGCACAAAAUCUUUAUUUGGGUUUUUAUGAUUAUGCACCUUUUUAUUAUUUGAGUAAAGUAUAAACGUGAGUAGAAACACUUAGCUGGAUAAAUGGCGGUGCUCUCCCCCAAGCUGGAUUUUGACGUAAUUGCUUCUGAUGUAGCUAGCAGGUGGCGGAGGUGUAUUUGAAUGUCGGUAGCACCUAGACAGCGAUUAGGAUGUUCUCCGUCUCCUAGUCUUCUUUGAUCUUUAAAUUCUGGGGAGCUCAAAUAGACAACAAAGCUUUGUGGAACUGGUUAAGUGUUAGCAUAAAAAUCUCUUUGCCUUUAUCAUGUUGAGCUUCCUCAAAUAAAUAUCACUCUCUUUGGUAGGAUCAUAAUUUUUUUUUAUUUUCAUUUCUAUAGGACAGAAAUAUAUUUAUUUUAUUUUUUACGCCACCAUAGUGAAUGUACUUAUAGGUUUUAUGCCACGAGCAUACUCACAAGGGGCUUACUAUUUUUAACAUUUUUAUUUUCUUUUCAAGAUAGCAUGAUUAACUAACAUGCCAUUUAAGGAAAGUAAAUAAUUUAAAGGAAAAGAGACUGCAGAAAGGAUAAAUAUGGAUUACUACCAAUUUUACCUUUCGGCGAGGGUUCAAUGUUUUAAGUCUUCUGAACAAGACUUCUCACCGUUUUCAUUCUUCAGGUGCGUCAUUUGAUUCAGGUGUGGACCUUGACGUCUGCACCUCUUAAUACGGUGUCACCCAUGUUCUUCAUUUGCCCAACAGUUGGAAGUGCGGCGUUGGCAGUAUCUUGCUCAGUGUGUUUGUGCUCGUAGAUCUAGGUUCUUCACUUGGUGGAGUCUGGGAGAUGUAAAACUCCUCCAUAUUUUGCUUCAAGUGCAUGGGCCCUGUUGGUGGAAAACACCAACAGAACCAAAAGUGUUUUUGUUCUUCUCUAACCUUAAGCAUAGUGAGCAAGACAAAGUUGAUGGAUGAUAAGUUCAUGAGUGUAGCACUUAUAACAUUUGUCAGAUCAGAUCGCUGAACCUUAUGGAAUGAUAAUCUAUCUAUGUAUAUGUCUUUUUCUUUAUAUCUCUCAAAGAUUGAAUGUGUAACAUUUUAGCUCAUAUGAUUAGGAGUGUGGGAUCAUGGAGGUAGUACUAGGAACAAGGAUUAAAGGACUAAACAUGCUGAAUCAGUUGGGUUGGUUAAUUUGGACUUAGAAAUCAUACAUGUUUGUCUCUUUAUUUAUGUGAACGCUAGAACCAAGGAGAAACUUAUAAAAGUGAUAGUCACAUAUCUUAAGAUGUUACCUUAAUUGAAGUGUGAUGGUACCAUCUCACCUUGUGGAAGCUUCCCAUUUGUAGUGGUUGUGUAUCGUGUUUGUGGCACCCUCCAUGGAUCAUCUCUUAUGAGCUAUGUCUUCCUUGUGUAAAUUGUUAAACUUCAUGUGUCCCUCCCCUUGUCUCCAAUGUGAGUUUAUCUCAGGACUUCCCAGGUUAAUAUUGAAAGUUUUCCUAGAGGGGUUAGUCCGACAAAAUAUACCAAUAUCUACUUAAGCAGUUUUUAGUUCAAUAACCAAACUAGACUCCAUGUCUAAUCAGAUUAAGGAAGGUUGUUUAACCUAAGCACCAUGCUUAAUUUAAAAGCCAAUAGAAGUAUGUGCAGUACUUCCAAACUAACACUUACUAGGAUAAACAAAGGUAGCGUGAUGGCAUUUAUAGAGAUCUACUCAAGUGGAGAUGAAGUAGUGUGAUUAGUAUUUAACAAAUUGAGCAUGUCUCAAAGGUAGGGACAACCAACAUAGCAACAUGACAAAGGAUGUUUUUAUGUAAAGUACUCCCCUAAGCUUGAAUUUUGUAAAAUUCAAGUUUGGGUGAAUUUAAUUCAAUGUUGUAUGAUGAUUGGUUGGACAUACCUUGUGCUUGUCAUUCAUCCGAUCUUCUUGCUCCAAUCCUGGAAAAGUUAGUGACAAGAAUACCUGAAGGAAUAUUUUUACGAUUAUCCUUAUAUGCUCAAUACACAAGGUAAUGUUGUAAAUUAUUAAAAGCUCAUGUUACGAUCUGAUCAGUGCUUAUUUUAGGACACUAAGCUUGUCCUUGGGAAACCAUCAAUUUAUGUCGGCGAAGUGGUUUCCCUUCCAAUGCUGACCUAUAUCAAGACCAACUCAACGAGAUCUGCAAUAUUUAUUAUAGACGUAUACGUCGACAACCGCCUUUUUAAAGUUUUUAUAAAUAGAAAGGAAGAGGGGGUUGAGGAUCUCAAAUGUGGUGAUGUUGGAGAGACCAAUAGAUUGGGAAGAUGUUGCAUAUGAGUAUGGAGUAAACGAAGUGGCUAUGAAAUAAAUUCCAUGGUCAUUAAUGUCAUCUUCAUCUCCAAUCUGAAUAUUCAGAGUUUCUCCUAGAUUGGUCUUACCUAUAUCCUCUUCUAUAGUUGGAUGAAUCUCAUCUUCAAAGGGAGUCAAGAACUCAACAUUUGAUAUUGAGCCAAAGUCAGAAUCCAUUAAGGCUUCUUCCUUAUCCAUCCAUUCUACACAUUCUAGCCAUUUAGAACUUGUGAUCAGGAAAGGUGAGGUGUUAGAAUUUUCUAUAUGGCUUAGCUCUCCUUCACUUGGUAUGUCAUCCUCGACUUCUUCAUAAAAGGAACCAGGACAUUUUCUAAGAGAAACAUUAUUGCAAGGAUUUGAAUUAUCCCUGCUUGAAGGUCUCUUAUGGAACCAGAAGUCUAAACCAUCAGUAUUUGAAAGAUUUAAGGUCGGAAUUCCUUCCUCCCUUGGAGAAUUUUGGGGUAUUUAUGGUUUAGGAUCGAUAGCUAAAGGUUGGGAUUGAAGUGGUUGUGAUCUGGCUAUCGAAACUUCUUCUUCUUGUCUAGGAACUGGUUCUUUCUCUUUCGCAGGGAUAUAAAAGCUAGGAGACUUUCCACUCAUUAAAUCAAUCAAAUUCCAAGCUUCACUAGUAGGUAGGUGAUAGAAGGAUCCUCUAGAGGCUGUAUUCAAGGUUUGCUUAUUUUCCCCACUAAGGCCCUCAAAAAAUUGAAUAAGAAGAACUUCUUCUAGAAUAGAAAGCUUUGGGCCAGAGAGAGUAAGGUUAAUAAAGCGGUCCCAUGAUUUGCUAAGAGAUUCUUCGUCCAGUUGUCUAAAAGGAAUAAUCUCACGCCAAAGUUCCACCACUUUGGAGAUUGGAAAAUAUUUAAAAAGAAAACUAUUAUAUAACUCCUUCCAAUCUCCAUGAACACUCCCUACGUUGAGUUUAUACCAAUGUCUAGCUUUUCCUAUUAAAGAGAACGGAAAAAGCUUCCAUUUAAGGGUCUCAUCGGACAUGCCUUCUAUGAGAAGGAGGUCACAGACUCGAUAAAACUCUCUUAGGGGUGUGUAUGGGUUUUCCUCACCUUCUCCUGAGAAAGGUUGUUUUUGAACAAAUUCUAUGUAUUUGGGGUCUAUCUCAAAACUAGAUGCUAUGAUCGGCUUUGAAGAUUUUGGUGGUUCGAGAUGUAUGCCCGUAGGUCUAUGAAAUUCAUAGAUAGACAUGUUUGCAUUCAUGAUAGACCAGAAAUCAAGGAUUAGAUAAGAAGAAAGAAUAGCAGAGAUGAGGCAAAGGAUAAAAAAAAUAUAUUUAUUUUUAAUUUUUUUAGAAAAUCAUUAAGCUAGUUCGUAGUCAACUCAGCAACCGCUCCCUUGGCAACGGCACAAAAAAUGCUUGUUGACACUUGCUAACACCACUUGAAUACUAGGUUGUCAUCCCCAGCAUGGCACUAGAGUGUACUAUGGUAUUUAUACGCACACAGAUAAUCCUCAAGCGCACGGAUACCGAUGUAACUUUUACCCGAUUAAAGGUUUUAUCGUAUCCACAAGGAAAUGGGAGAACCAACUACGCUCUAACUUAACCAAGAUAGAUAGAUAAGUGUGAAUAGGAAAGAUGAUAGAAUUGAAUAAGAACAAUAUUAAAGGUAAGAUAACGAUGGGUGAUAAUAUGGGAAUAGAGAGUAGAGCAAUCUAAUAUAUGAGCGAUGGUAGCAGAAUAGAGAGGAUAACUAUGGUUUCUCUACUUCAAAGGGGUAUGUCUAUGUCUGGGACGAACCACGUGAUAAGAAUACACCACAAAGGAUGCUUAUCCAUAGGCCGAUAAACCCUACCCGUCCUGCUAACAAGAGGUGGACUACACAGGACCAACGUAACUGUCACCUACGCGGCCUACCACACGAUCCAGCUAGACAGGGGAUAUCCACAAGUAAUCUAGGUCUAAGCACCAUGCUUACACCUAUACUACAACUCUCACCUAUAGCGUCCUAUAGAUUAAAGUACUAAAAAGAGUUGUGAACCAGAACAUACAUGACUAGUAAUUGCAUAAUGAAUUACAAGUAGAUUACCAGAGUCAUCCCAUGAGCAAGCUUGAUAAGAGCUUGAUCAUGACGAAGUACAACCGGAGGAAGAACCGACAGGCCGGCCUCUCCAUCUCACUUAUAUCUCGAUCUACUCUAGUUUAGAGAUGAGAGGAGAGCUCUCAUCUCUAAACCCUAGCUUUUGCUCUGUCUAUGAAUAAUGAAUAAUGAUCAAGGGGUUCCUCCUCCAGGGGCCAGGGGGUCUGCUUAUAUAGUCCCCUCAAGUGAACCUGGGCCGUCGGAUCAAACCGACAUUGAUUGAACGAUUAUUCUUGAUCCUUUAGGUCGGUGGAGCAUAAUCCGCGAGAUUGAGCGUGAUUGGUUGAAACUCCAGAGCGGGCGCCCAAGGGGGAGGGCGGGCGCCCUGCCCCAGGCCUGUUCGGCCUCCCGUUCGUUCCCGUGGCUUCUGGAGUCUUCUAGAUGAUAAAAAAUUGCGCGGCACGUUAAUAUCUCUAUGUAAACCCGACGUGUGGGCCUUUCUUCCAUAUUUCCUAAUAACCCCCCACAGAAAUAGAUAAACACCAAAACUCAUAGAAUUCUGUCAGAUAACACCCUAAGUCUGGGUGUUGGUUGCAUUUGGAUCCUUUUCUUUAUUUAUUUGGUGAUUAUAUUUGGUACUUAAGGACCGUCAACAACUCCCCCAAGCUUACCUCUUGCUCGUCCCUGAGCAAGGAUGGACUCAAGAGUUUCUGCAGUGAUUUUAUGCCUUAAAGGUACACAUGCGUUCAAACAAGAUCUCAUCUCCAGGUUAAGGUAAAUUGUUAAGACUUAAACUUACUCAUAUUACCUUCCACCAUGGGGCUUGCAACCGUCACUUGUGUCUUGAGCAGUUAAAAGAUAGAACGGUCAAGUCAAGCACCAUGUCUCUUGUUCUUUGAUCAACUAUAGCUCUGGGGUUUUUGUAGAUUUUCAAAUAAAACUCAGAGAUUCCUUAUAUGACUCUCUCUAGUCUCUCUUUUGUGGUAUUUCUGGAUCCUUACCAAGGCAGUGAUGAUAUAUGCCUUCUCUCAAAGUAUGUAGUAUUUGUGGUAUGAGGCAUAGUGAUAUUGCCUUCUCUCUCACCCUACUCUAAUAAGGUUUGAUAUCUGGAGCUCAUAGGUGGGAGACAGCUAAUACAUACUUACAAGACAUUUAUUGCAUAGUCAAACCAUGGAUCCAGAGAAACAAGUCAAUAAGUCAAAUCAAGAUGUGCAUGUGUGGUGGAUGAAUGGUGUAUGGUGAUGAUGGUGAUAAUGGUGAAAAUAAUGGUGAAAGUCUAAUUCUACUUUUGCUCUUUUGAGGGGAUACAUGCCAUUCUUGUACUUUGAAGGUUUUUGAGAGGAAUGAGAUGCUCUAUAUUUUAUUUUUCUUUUCUCUCAGGUGGGUAUCUUGUACCCCUUUUUAUUUCCUCAUAUUCACUUUUUUUUUCAGAGCACUCACCCUCCGAGAAUAAUGUAGCAAGUGGUAGUAACCAAAAUAUCAAGAGCAUUUAUUUCACGGGGAAUAACAGGAAUAGGAUAAUGUUUUUGGCUAUUCUCUCCUGGAUAGGAGUAGAAUAAUUUUAGGUGAAUCUGGAGAUGGAAAGGAGUGGAUGUAUGUGGAUGCGUACUUCCAGAGUAGAAGCAGCAUGUAUGAGUGAACGUGAGAGUGAAUCUUGAUUUUAAUCGCAUGACAAGCUCCUAAGGGUCUACACAGCUUGACCACACUCAAUGCUCAUAAGCAGUAAAAAGUAAAUGUGUAGUUCAUUGUCUAAUAAGCAUGUAUAUAUGGCUGUGGUAGGAUUUUAAACUCUCAUCAUACAGGAACUCAUCAUGCAACAUUUUAAAGAUUUUCAAAUAAAAUUCUCCAGAAUUCUAGCAUCUCUAAGAACAGAUAAACAGCAGCUCAACCUUUCCAUAUCAUAUCCGUUAAUGACUUAGACUUUAGACCAAGUACUCUUCCCACAAGUUUAGGUUUAGAGCAAAUCUUAAUUCAUAACAGUCAUGCCUAAACUUGAGAGAGAAUUCAAUUUUGAGAACUAGUCAUGGCAGAGCAACUAUUCAUCAUUUCCAUGUGAGAGCUUAUCACAAGGGUUCAUAGCAAACUUUAUUUAUUUAUUUACGUAUUUAGCAAGCAAAGCAAAGAUAUAUAUAAGCACAAAAUCUUUAUUUGGGUUUUUAUGAUUAUGCAUCUUUUUAUUAUUUGAGUAAAGUAUAAACACGAGUAGAAACACUUAGCUAGAUAAAUGGGGGUGCUCUCCUCCAAGCUGGAUUUUGACGUAAUUUCUUCUAAUAUAUGAGUGAUGGUAGCAGAAUAGAGAGGAUAACUAUGGUUUCUCUACUUCAAAGGGGUAUGUCUAUGUCUGGGACGAACCACGGGAUAAGAAUACACCACAAAGGAUGCUUAUCCAUAGGCCGAUAAACCCUACCCGUCCUGCUAACAAGAGGUGGACUACACGGGACCAACGUAACUGUCACCUACGCGGCCUACCACACGAUCCAGCUAGAUAGGGGAUAUCCACAAGUAAUCUAGGUCUAAGCACCACGCUUACACCUAUACUACAACUCUCACCUAUAGCGUCCUAUAGAUUAAAGUACUCAAAAGAGUUGUGAACCAGAACAUACAUGAUUAGUAAUUGCAUAAUGAAUUAGAAGUAGAUUACCAGAGUCAUCCCAUGAGCAAGCUUGAUUAGAGCUUGAUCAUGACGAAGUACAACUGGAGGAAGAACCGACAGGCCGGCCUCUCCUCCAAUCCUCCCUCGCUCUCCAUCUCGCUACUAUCUAGAUCUACUCUAGUUUAGAGAUGAGAGGAGAGUUCUCAUCUCUAAACCCUAGCUUUUGCUCUGUCUAUGAAUAAUGAAUAAUGAUCAAGGGGUGCCUCCUCCAGGGGCCAGGGGGUCUGCUUAUAUAGUCCCCUCAAGUGAACCUGGGCCGUCGGAUCGAACCGACACUGAUUAUACGGUUAUUCUUGAUCCUUUAGGUCGGUGGAGCAUAAUCCGCGAGAUUGAGCGUGAUUUGUUGAAACUCUAGGGCGGGCGCCCAAGGGGGGAGGGUGGGCGCCCUGCCCCCAGGCCCGUUCGGCCUCCCGUUCAUUCCCGUGGCUUCUGGAGUCUUCUAGAUGAUAGAAAAUUGCACGGCACGUUAAUAUCUCUUUGUAAACCCGACGUGUGGGCCUACCUUCCACCAUGGGGCUUGCAACAGUCACUUAUGUCUUGAGCAGUUAAAAGAUAGAACGGUCAAGUCAAGCACCAUGUCUCUUGUUCUUUGAUCAACUAUAGCUCUGGGGUUUUUGUAGAUUUUCAAAUAAAACCCAGAGAUUCCUUGUAUGACUCUCUCUAGUCUCUCUUUUGUGGUAUUUCUGGAUCCUUACCAAGGUAGUGAUGAUAUACGCCUUCUCUCAAGUAUGUAGUAUUUGUGGUAUGAGGCAUUAGUGAUAUGCCUGUCUCUCUCACCCUACUCUAAUAAGGUUUGAUAUCUGGAGCUAAUAGGUGGGAGACAUCUAAUACAUACUUACAAGACAUUUAUUGCAUAGUCAAACCAUGGAUCCAGAGAAACAAGUCAAUAAGUCAAAUCAAAAUGUGCAUGUGUGGUGGAUGAAUGGUGUAUGGUGAUGAUGGUGAUAAUGGUGAAAAUAAUGGUGAAAGUCUAAUUCUACUUUUGCUCUUUUGAGGGGAUACGUACCUUUCUUGCACUUUGAAAGUUUUUGAGAGGAAUGAGAUGCUCUAUAUUUUCUUUUUAUUUUCUCUCAGGUGCGUAUCUUGUACCCCUUUUUAUUUCCUCGUAUUCACUUUUUUUCAGAGCACUCACGCUCCUAGAAUAAUGUUGCAAGUGGUAGUAACCAAAAUAUCAAGAGCAUUUAUUUUACGGGGAAUAACAAGAAUAGGAUAAUGUUUUUGGCUAUUCUCUCCUGGAUAGGAGUAGAAUAAUUUUAGGUGAAUCUGGAGAUGGAAAGGAGUGGAUGUAUGUGGAUGCGUACUUCCAGAGUAGAAGCAGCAUGUAUGAGUGAACGUGCAAGUGAAUCUUGAUUUUAACCGCAUGACAAGCUCCUAAGGGCCUACACAGCUUGACCACACUCAAUGCUCAUAAGCAGUAAAAAGGAAAUGUGUAGUUCAUUGUCUAAUAAGCAUGUAUAUAUGGCUGUGGUAGGAUUUUAAACUCUCAUCAUAAAGGAAAUCAUCAUGCAACAUUUUAAAGAUUUUCAAAGAUAAAAUUCUCCAGAAUUCUAGGAUCUCUAAGAACAGAUAAACAACAGCUCAACCUUUCCAUAUCAUAUCCGUUAACGACUUAGACUUUAGAUCAAGUACUCUUCCCACAAGUUUAGGUUUAGAGCAAAUCUUAAUUCUUAACAGUCAUGCCUAAACUUGAGAGCGAAUUCAAUUUUGAGAACUAGUCAUGGCAGAGCAACUAUUCAUCAUUUCCAUGUGAGAGCUUAUCACAAGGGUUCAUAGCAAACUUUAUUUAUUUAUUUACAUAUUUAGCAAACAAAGCAAAGAUAUAUAUAAGCACAAAAUCUUUCUUUGGGUUUUUAUGAUUAUGCAUCUUUUUAUUAUUUGAGUAAAGUAUAAACGCGAGUAGAAACACUUAGCUGGAAAAAUGGGGGUGCUCUCCCCCAAGCUGGAUUUUGACGUAAUUUCUUCUAAUAUAUGAGCGAUGGUAGCUGAAUAGAGAGUUUAAGUAUGGUUUCUCUACUUCAAAGGGGUAUGUCUAUGUCUGGGACGAACCACGUGAUAAGCAUACAACACAAAGGAUGCUUAUCCAUAGGCCGAUAAACCCUACCCGUCCUGCUAACAAGAGGUGGACUACACGGGACCAACGUAACUGUCACCUACGCGGCCUACCACACGAUCCAGCUAGACAGGGGAUAUCCACAAGUAAUCUAUGUCUAAGCACCACGCUUACACCUAUACUACAACUCUCACCUAUAGCGUCCUAUAGAUUAAAGUACACAAAAGAGUUGUGAACCAGAACAUACAUGAUUAGUAAUUGCAUAAUGAAUUAGAAGUAGAUUACCAGAGUCAUCCCAUGAGUAAGCUUGAUUAGAGCUUGAUCAUGACGAAGUACAACCGGAGGAAGAACCGACAGGCCGGCCUCUCCUCCAAUCCUCCCUCGCUCUCCAUCUCGCUACUAUCUAGAUCUACUCUAGUUUGGAGAUGAGAGGAGAGCACUCAUCUCCAAACCCUAACUUUUGCUCUGUCUAUGAAUAAUAAAUAAUGAUCAAGGGGUGCCUUCUCCAGGGGCCAGGGGGUCUGCUUAUAUAGUCCCCUCAAGUGAACCUGGGCCGUUGGAUCAAACCGACAUUGAUUGAACGGUUAUUCUUGAUCCUUUAGGUCGGUGGUGCAUAAUCCACGAGAUUGAGCGUGAUUGGUUGAAACUCCAGAGCGGGCGCCCAAGGGGCGAGGGCGGGCGCCCUGCCCCCGGGCCCGUUCGGCCUCCCGUUCGUUUCCGUGGCUUCUGGAGUCUUCUAGAUGAUAGAAAAUUUCACGGCACGUCAAUAUCUCUAUGUAAACCCGAUGUGUGGGCCUUUCUUCCGUAUUUCCUGAUAACCCCCUGCAGAAAUAGAUAAACACCAAAACUCAUGGAAUUCUGUCAGAUAAAACCCUAAGUCUGGGUGUUGGUUGCAUUUGGAUCCUUUUCUUUAUUUAUUUGAUGAUUAUAUUUGGUACUUAAGGACCGUCAACACCGAUAUAAUUCAAGAGUAUCAUACCUAUAAUAAAGUAUUCAUUCACAAAUUAAAUAAGUUGGCAUGCUAUCCACUCUUUACUUUGACUUCUCAUGGGGCCUAUAGCAUUUCCAAGUUCUUGGGUGGUUGCAAGAUAGAAUGGUUGUAACAGACUCACCAUUUAUUCAUCCCUUGAUAGACCAUCAAUCCGGAGGUUUUAUAAUUUUUUGCAAAAUAAAUAAGUUCCUUGAAUGAUUCUCUCGAUCGCUCAAUGUGUAUGAAAUCCUCACCAAAGGCAUUUGUGUUUGACUUUAAGACCUACCACUAAGGCUGAGAAUGGAGCUUUGGGAAGCUAUUAAGGGUGGGCGUACUUAAGACACUUGUGUUGCCAAGUCAAAGCCCAGACCAUGAGGAGGUACAAGUCAUACACCUUGAUUCAGAUGUGCAAGUGUGUGGGAUUUUUUUUGGUGGUAGUCCUAUCUAAAUAUUUUUGGUUACUCCUUGUAUCAUGACUCUCUUUAGUUGAGGAAGAGAAUGAGAGAAUGUAAACAUAUGGACCCUAAAAAAAUGGAUCAUAUAUAUAUAUAUAUAUUUUUUCUGAUGGGGAUUUUGAUUUUCCCGUCCAUGCCCUUUGGCUUUUCCUUCAUUUUUUUCAUGGAUAACUGAUGCCCACAUGUUUCAAAGGGAUCUCAAAGAGGAAAAUGGAGAGAUGUCAUGAUGGUGAUGUAAGGAGUAAAAUUGUGUAUGGGGAUGCGCAACCCUCAGGGUGAGAGUUUGGCAUACUUAUUUGGUGGAAGCUAAGGCGCAACUCUCAGGGUAAGAGUUAACAUAUUUUGGUGGAUGGAAGGGUGCAUGUUGUGCACAACUUCUCAGUGUGAGAGUCGGCUUUAUUUGUGGGUGCGUGAAUCUCAUAUCAUGGGUGCAUGACCAUAAUCUCACUCUAGGAUACCUAGGAUUUGACUCAACUCAAAGCGCCGCAUGCCGCAUAUGACUAAAGGUGUACAAACUACUAAGCAAGUCAUAUGGCCUUGGUAGGUAUUUCAUAAUCAUUGAGGAACUCUUUGUUUUGAAUUUUUGAAAAGAAAACUCCGGAUAUCAAGUUUCUCUUAGAACAAAGUCAUAGCAAAAUCUAUUUAUACCAUAUCAUGUCUCGCAACAACUUAGAAAAGGAUCAUGCAUUUGCAACCCACAAGAUUUCAAGUUCUCAGAAUGAGACAUUUUUAGCCAACAAACUUAAAUCUUGAUGAACACUAAAUUAUAACUUAGAUACUAGAGAAUUAUAGACAGAGCAACUAUUCAUCAUUUCAAUAGAAGAGUAACUAACAUAUCAUAGCACACAUGAGAGUGGAAUUUUUUUGAAAGAUGAUGAAAAAUUGCUGAAAUUUAAAUAGUAAAAUUAAGAACUAAAAUUAAGUGCAAGAAUGUAAGAUACAUGUUACCUAUUGUGGGGGUCCUCCCCCAAGUUAGCUCACUGCUGCGGUCCAGGGAAAUGUCCCAUGGAUCGCAGGUAGGCCAUUUGUGCCUCGUGCCGGUGACGGCUCGCAUCCUCAAGGUCGAUGAAGCUCUACUGGCUCUACCGAUGCCAUUGGGUAGCAGUCUGGAUGUGGGCAUUCAGCGUACCUUGGAUCUGCCUGUUCUGGAGCUCUAGUCCUCCAGUGUGAGUGUUGAGGACGUCCAGUGUGACCUGAGGGCUGUUGAUAUUUGAGAACGCAAUAAGGAAUUGAUCCGCAAGCGCAUGGAUAUCGGUGAGCACUUCACCCGGGAGGUUAUCCAGAGUAUCGUAUUUAUUUUUUUACCACUAGGAGAAAGAGUGCAUCUGACUAACCCGGUCUAUUACUACUAACCCUUUAGGCAACAAAGAAUGUUUCUCGAUGUGAGUGAUGAAUAGAGAAGACUACAACCGUAAUCUCCUUCUAACCUUGGUAAGGUUGAUCUACUGUUCUAUUGGGGAGGCUAACGGAAUCUAGACACCACAAAGGAUGUUCAACCCACACCUAUAAACCCUAUCCUUCCUGCUAACAAGAUAUGGUCUGCAAAAGUAACUCGAAAAUGUCACAUUCCUCGCUACUACCACGGUCUAGCUAGUCAGGGAAUAUCUAUGAGUAUCCUAGCUUAAACACCACGUCUACGCUAGAGAUGAUUACUCUAAACUCUACGCGAAGAGAUUAAAGUAAACUCAUAAACCAAAAGAACAAUAAAACAAGAACUUACUAGAAUUUAGAAGUCGAAAUACUGAAGAAUCCUAGGAGCAAGCCUCGGGUUAGGAGAACUCGAUACCGCAGGUACAAGCUCGGAGUAGACACCGACAGGCCGGGCUUCCUCCGGUCUACACAUCCACUCUAUCUCUCUCAAUCUAGUAGAAACUAGAAGAUCUAUUUCUACUCACAUUGGAUGCUAAGCCUAAAAAGAAAUUUUAUUUAGAGAAGAGGUUUUCCUUCGAGGGCUCCCCUCAACUCUAUGAUAAACUUGUCUCCUCCAGGGGCCAGGGGGUCUUGUUUUAUAGUCCCCUCAAGUGAACGUGAGCCAUUGGAUCAAACCGACAUUGAUUGGACGGUUAUCCUUGAUCCUUUAGGUCGGUGGAGCGUCGUGUGCGAAAAGAGUCCUGAUUGGCAUCCAACAGAGGGCGGGCGCCCAGGUCAACUGGGCGGGCGCCCAGGGCCUGGCUCCGUUCGGCCUCUGCAUCCUUCCUGUGGCUUCUAGAGUCUUCUAGAUUGUAGAAAAUUGCGUGGUGAGUUGAUAUCUCUAUGUAAUCCCGACAUGUGGGCCUUUCUUCCUUAUUUCCUGAUAACCCCCUGCAGAAACAGAUAAACAACAAAACUCGUGGAAUUCUGUCAGAUCAAACCCUAAUUCUAGGUGUUGUUUGUAUAUUGGUCAUUUCUCUUGUUUAUUUGAUAAUUAAAAUUGAUACUUAAGAACCGUCAACAAAUACCCCCAUACUUAGGCUUUUACUCGUCCUCGAGAAAGGGAUGGUUAAGAACAAUAUCUGGGGUAAAACAUUUUAAAAAUAUUCUCUUCAUAACUGCAGGAUGUUAAAAUCCACUGUGAACUAUAGUCAGGAAAGUAUAUGGUUAAGAGUAGAGAUCCUUUCUUCUCAAUCAUGUCACUUGGAGUUUUUGUAUAUUUUUGAAAGAAAGUUAGCAUACCUUUUAUCCUCAUAGGUUCUCUCAGAUCACUUAUUUAUCUUUUAUAUAUAUCUCACUGAGGCUGUUUUAAUUUGCAAAAAUUCUCAAGCAUACUUACCUUGUAUUUAUUGCCUGAUCAAAACGGGAUCCGAGGAGGGGAAUGUCAUACUCUUAGAUCAAAGACUUUAGAAAUAAAAAUAUUUGUCAACUCUUGCUGUCAUAUUGCUUAUUAGAGGGACCAUGGGCUAUCAUUUUCUUUUUCUUCUUUUUUUUAAGUGGAUACCAAGGUACCCCUAAUUCUACUGCCGGACACUAGUCCAUUUUUUCUGCGAGGUUGUCAAGCACUUGCUCCUUUUUUAUUUCCACGAAAUAUCUUUAUUUUUGCAUAGCCCAUGCCUAAUGCAAUAAUACUUCGGAAGAGUGAAUCUUUCUGAAUAAAUGUCUUGAUCUUAGGAGCAUGAUAAAUCUCUCAACAUGGGUCUAACUCAUUUUGAACAAACUAAAUACAGAGUAGAUAGCCUUUAUAAUCAUAAUUAAUAUUUUCAGUUUUAUCAGGCAUAUAAAACACUGAGGAUGGUAGCUAGAAUUUUGAAGAUUUUGAAAUAAAUUCUCCAAGCAACAAUGAUAUCUAGAAUAAGAAACUCAUACUUUACCAUCUCACAUUCCAUACUGACUUAAGUAACACAGGGUUUUAAAAUGAUUUUAUAAUAGUUGUAAGUUUUCAGGAAAUAUCACAGAGUGAGAUUAAUCAUAAUUAGAAACAUUUUAAUCUUUAUCAUGUCAGAAACAAUAUUUUGCAUAAUCCAAGAUAUGUGUAUGUGUAAAGUGUGCAGAGUAUGUACUGUAGUCGAAGUGUGUUUGGCGUGUCGAGGGAUCUCCCCCAUACUUGUUUUCUACUUUCUUGCACAAGAAUAAAGUAGAGACACACAAGACAUAAUAAUAAUAAUAAUAAUAAUAAUAAUAAUAAUAAUAAUAAUAAUAAUAAUAAUAAUAAUAAUAAUAAUAAUAAUAAUAAUAAUAAUAAUAAUAAUAAUACUCUUUAUUAAUCUUGAGGCAUUUAUUACAACUGACUGGUAGCAAACUGACGAAAACAGUAGCAAACUGACAAUAAUAGUAAACCUAAACCGAAUUUAAAGAUAAAUGACUAAGAUGCAUUGCCUCAAUGUCUAAUCUAGAUAACUUAGUGACACUCUAAUUCGUUAAUCUUCUUAUUGACACUGGCAAGAUCCUGCCUAAGGCGUAGUAUAACGGUGUUGUGGUUAGAGAGCUGCCUAGUGAGGGAAUUAAUCGAGGACUGGAGUUCUAUGAUAACUCUGUCUAGCCUGCGAACGUCCUCAUCAAUAUCUACUAUAGUCUUGCGACGCUUGGGAGGUGUCUCAAAAGCAUUGAGAGCAUGCUUCGGGGCUGCCUUUGGAGAGAUGAAACGGACUUUGGCUGCUCUAAUCCCUUCAAAGUAAGGCCUUUCCUCCUCCGUAGUGUAGCGAAUGCUGCUGAUCUCACCGCUCUGGUUGGUCUUGACUCCAACGACCCUCUCAUUGGGUCUAGGUGGAAGGAUCAUCGUGCUGGUUGGCACCUUGAUGGUGGUCUUCAUCUUAGAUGAUGAUCCUUUGAGGAGUAGGGGUUGUGGUGGUGCGGUGAGAACUGGUUGAGCAUGAUGGGAUUGGGCGGAGCUGCGUUGGCGUAAUGGCAUGACUUCUAGCUGUCGCUCUGUGUUGGCCGGGACGAGAGCACGGGCAUCGGGGUCUUCCGCAGGCUCCAUGUUGAGGUUGAAGGGGACGACUUCCCAAUCAUCGUGGAACUUCUCGGCCAUUGGAGCAGCGAGGAACUAAACAAGCUCUAAUUGAAGAAGAAGAAGAAGAGAAGGCUUGGUGGAUUGGUGUUUGAAAACUGAUGUCAGGGGUCUGUUUAUAUAGGGGUCAAAAAGUGCCUCUAGGGGUUGUUCUGGUUGCUCCCUUCGAUGUGCGUGAGAAACUUUCCAUCUGAGGGAUUAUUCGGAUUACCAUAAGUGCAUUUUCCAUAACAGAGAAAAUCAGGACAGAGGGGGAACAGGAGCUGGGCACCCGCCCACUUGAUCAGGGCGCCCACCCUCUCUCUGUCUCCUCUGUGGGCACGCUUCCUCGAGCGUGUUUCUAGAUGCAGACUUAAUUAGGAAUAUAUAUAUAUAUGACCCAAAAACAUCAGACUAAAAAGGUCGGGCUCUAAUUCUCCAUGGGAAGAAAAAAAUGGAUUACGUGUAUUUCUUCUAAUUCUUUAUUGGGCUCUAAAAACAAUUUAAGACGUUGACCAUUUACCUUGAAUAACGUACCUUCAUCGUUUUGAAGUGUGAUAGCUCUGUGGGAUAAUGACUUAAUUACCUUGAAUGGUCCUUCCCAUUUGCUCCGGAGUUUUCCAUGCCCGAAAAAGCUUCACCCUGAAAUUAAAAAGUAAUACCUUAUCUCCGGGUGUGAAUUCCUUCUUCUUGAUUCUCUUGUCAUGCCACCUUUUGACUCUUUCUUUGUAGAUCUUCAAAUUGUGAUAUGCUUUCUCUCGCCAUUCCUCCAAUUCUUAUAGUUGCAUUCUUCUAUGAUCUCCAGCAACAUCUAGGUCCAUAUUCCAUCUCUUUACGGCCCAGUGUGCUUUGAACUCUAGUUCAACAGGUAGGUGGCAAGUCUUCCCGUACACCAAUUGGUAUGGAGACAUUCCAAUCGGGGUCUUGUAUGCUAUCCGGUAUGCCCAGAGUGCAUCGAGUAACUUGUCUUUCCACGCCAUUCCCAUUUCAUUUACUGUCUUCUGAAGAAUAUUCUUGAUUUGCUUGUUGGAAGUCUCUGCUUGGCCACAUGUCUGAGGAUGAUAGGGGGUAGCGACGUUGGGACGGAUUCCAUGCUUUGAUAGAUAUUGCUUGAAUCGUUUAUCGAUGAAGUGUGCUCCUCCAUCACUUAUCACUACUCUGGGGACUCCAAAUCUUGGAAAUAUAAUUUCUUCAAACAUCCUCUUUGAACUGAUGUUGUCGGUAUGCUUGCAAGGUAAUGCCUCUGCCGACUUGGAGACGUAGUCAAGUGCCACCAAGAUUUACUCACACAUCUUUGAUGGAGGAAAUGGACCCAUAUAGUCUAUUCCCCAGACAUCAAAGAGCUCAAUCUGAAGGUUGUUGGUGAGUGGCAUUGCAUCCCUUGUAUUUAUGUUUCCGUGCCUUUGACAUGGCCCACAUCUUCUGAUAUAUUGCUUCGCGUCUUCAUACAUUGUAGGCCAGUAGAAUCCACACUGCCAGAUCUUUGAAUGUGUACGGAAUGCUCCAUAGUGACCUCCAUAUGGCGAUGAAUGACAUCUGUCGAUGAUCUUCCAUCCUUCCUCAGUGGUCACACAUCUCUUGAGUAAGCCAUCAGAGCAUACUCGGAAGAGGUAUGGCUCAUCCCAUAUAUGUGAAUGACUUUCUUGAAUAAGCUUUUUCUUGUUUGCUCCUGGUGGUACAUACCCUAAAACCAUAAAAUUAACAAUAUCUGCAUACCAGGGGUCAGACCUGUUAAUCCCAUAAAGCAUGUCGUCCCGGAGUGAAUCAUUGAUGGGGGUUUCCUGUGGACUCUUAAAAUACAUUCUAGACAAGUGAUCUGCAAUAGAAUUUUCUACUCCCUUUUUAUCUUUUAUUUCUAAGUCAAAUUCUUGGAGUAAUAAGAUCCAUCUAAUCAGGCGAGGUUUAGUAUCUUUUUUAGUGAGCAAAUAUUUUAGUGCAGCAUGAUCAGUGUAAACAAUUAUUUUAGCUCCAACUAAAUAAGAUCUAAAUUUAUCAAUGGCAAAGACAAUAGCCAGAAGCUCUUUUUCAGUGGUUGCAUAGUUAAGUUGAGCUCCUGCCAAAGUUUUACUGGCAUAAGCAAAUGCAUGAUGCUUCUUAUUUUUAGUUUGUCCCAAUACUGCCCCCACAGCAUAAUCACUAGCAUCACAUAUAAUUUCAAAAGGCAACGAACAAUCAGGGGGUUGAAUGAUUGGUGCAGAGAUGAGUGCUUUCUUUAAUAAAUUAAAAGAUGUUAGACAUGCAUCACCAAAUUCGAAAGGAGCAUCCUUGGCUAGCAAAAGAGUAAGUGGUCUAUCAAUGAAUGAAAAAUCUUUUAUGAAUCAACGAUAAAAACCAGUAUGGCCAAGAAAGCUUCAAAUUCCUUUUAUAUUCACAGGUGGAGGUAGUUGUUCAGUUACUUCAGUUUUAGCUUUGUCUACCUCAAUACCUCUUUUAGACACUAGGUGUCCCAGCACUAUUCCUUCCCUAACCAUGAAAUGACAUUUUUCCCAAUUAAGGACUAAGUGCUUUUCUUCACAUCUUUGCAAAACCUUGUCUCAGUUUUCAAGACAACUAUCAAAAGUUUUUCCAUAAAUAGAGAAAUCAUCCAUGAAAACUUUCAUAAUGUCUUCAAUCAUAUCAGAAAAUAUAGACAUCAUGCAUCUUUGAAAAAAGCUGGUGCAUUACAUAACCCAAAAGACAUUCUACGGUAAGCAUAAGUUCCAUAUGGGCAUGUAAAAGUGGUUUUGCUUUGAUCAUCAGGAUGGAUCGGGAUCUGAUGAUACCCUUAAUAUCCAUCUAAGAAACACAAGAAUGAAUGGUUCGCUAAUCGCUCUAGCAUCUCAUCUAUGGAAGGUAAAGGAAAGUGAUCCUUUCUCGUGGCUUUGCUUAGUUUUCUAUAGUCUAUGCACAUCCGCCAUCCUGUGACGGUGCCUUGCGGAAUUAGCUCGUUCUUUUCAUUCAUAAUAACAGUCAUGCCUCCCUUUUUAGCCACAACUUGUACUGGGCUUACCCACUCACUGUGCGGCACAGGAUAUAUAAUCCCUACAUGCAGCGACUUUAUAGCUUCCUUUUUAACUACCUCUCUCAUAGUGUUGUUAAGUCUACGUUGGGGUUCCCGAGAAGGUGAAACAGAAGGAUCUGUUGGAAUACGAUGGGUACAAAUCAUAGGACUGAUUCCUAUAAGAUCUUGGAGUGAGUAGCCAAAAACUGAGUGAUGUUUCUCAAGAAUGGUCAUUAAUCGCAGAGUUUGCUCCUGAGUGAGUUUAUCGCUAAUGAUCAUAGGAAACUCUGGAUUAUUGUUUAGGAAAGCAUAGAUAAGACCAGGUGGUAAAGUUUUAAGCUCUAUGGGGGGUCUAGGUGUUUCUACAAACUCAUCUAAGGGUUGGAGUUUCGUCUUCUAAGUCUGAUUCUUCUAAAAGUUCAAGAGAUGCAGCUUUACCUCCUCCAUAGGAUCAGGCAAAAGAUAUGACUCGGCCUUAUUAUUCAAAGAGUGUGAAAUUGUUAUUGGGAUUUUAAAAGCUUUUCCAAAAGAAAUGUGUAGCUUUCCAGUAUGACCUUCAUAAAGGAGUCUUCUAAAAGGUUGUCCUAUCAACAGGUCGAAGUCCCAUGUAUCAAAGAUAUAGAAGUUCAAAUGAACCAUGGAGCCUUCUACCGUAAGAGGUAGGACAUUAAUAAUUCCAAGACUGGGGACUAAUCGUCCCAAAGAUUCCUUUAUGACCUUUGUUGUGGGGGUUAAGACAAGAUUUUUAAAUAGUUUAAGUGCAAAAGAUUUAGACAUGAUGUUGAUCCCCACAACAGGAUUAUAAAGAGCAUUAAAUCGAUCAGAAUUAUAGGCACAACGUAUAGUUAUAGAGGGUUUGUCCAAACGGAUCACAUCAGAGGAAAGCUCCGAUUCCUCCAACCACUCGCUACUCAUGACUGAGAUAAGCUCUCUCAAUUGAUAUUCACUUGGCAAAUAAAUGCUAAACUGGUCGUUUUGGGGUUUGUCAAUAGAAUGGUAGUUUGAAAGGUUUCCAAAAUCGGCAAAAAGAUCGGAUUCUAUAUGCAGCAUGAAGUCCGGUGGUGGAAUUUCUUCCUCUUGUGGCUCAGAACAUGGGAUAGCUAAAGUAGAUGAAGAAUUUGGCAGAGUGUCUACUUCGGCUUCGUAGGUUUCAUCAUGAAGGGUAUUAUCCAUCUCAGCUUCUAGGAUUCUAUCUAGGAUCACUCUAGCUUCAUCAGUAGAAAUGUGAAAGAAAGAACCUCUAGACAUUGUGUGUAGCAUUUGUUUGUGAUUUUUCUGAAGACCUCGAAAAAAGUUAAAUAAAAGAACAGGGUCUUCAAGAUUAAGGUUUGGACUAGAUCUAAAAGAUCAGAAAAACGUUUCUAGGAUUUUCCCAAAGUUUCAUUAUCUUUUUGUUUAAAAGAUAGGACUUCGAGUCUAAGGUCGCCGAUACGGUCGAGGGAAUAGAAAUCUAGACAAAAGUUGGCUCGUAAAACUCCCCAUUCACUUCAUUGUUGACUUACCUUCUGACUGUACCAUUGUCUAGCUUCUCCCCUUAAGGAAAAAGAAAAAAGCUUCUAACAUAAAGUUUUAUCAGAAAUGCCUUCAAUGCAAAGACAAUCACAUGUUUGCUCAAAAUCUCUAAUAUGAAGGUAAGGGUUUUCGUCUUCCUUUCCCGAAAAAGAUAGGUUUUGAAUCAUGGAAAUCAACCUAGAACUUAACCUGUACUGGGAUGUUUGGAUAGGCUGUGAUGACUCCCAUGGUAAAAGGUCAGUUUCUGAAGGUGUUGCAAAUUUGUAGAUUGAUUUAGAAUCUUGGUUUUCCAUAAGGUAAGAGUAAAGAAAAUAAAUACAGAAUAUAAAAGAUAAGAAAAGAUAAAAGUAUAGAUACAAGCUAAUAGUAAGACUCAAGGUUAUCUCAGCAAACCAUCUUUCUCUCCGACAACGGCGCCAGAAAUGCAUGUUGAUAUUUGGGAACGCAAUAAGGAAUUGAUCCGCAAGCGCACGGAUAUCGGUGAGCACUUCACCCGGGAGGUUAUCCAGAGUAUCGUAUUUAUUUUUUUACCACUAGGAGAAAGAGUGCAUCUGACUAACCCGGUCUAUUACUACUAACCCUUUAGGCAACAAAGAAUGUUUCUCGAUGUGAGUGAUAAAUAGAGAAGACUACAACCGUAAUCUCCUUCUAACCUUGGUAAGGAUGAUCUACUGUUCUAUUGGGGAGGCUAACGGAAUCUAGACACCACAAAGGAUGUUCAACCCGCACCUAUAAACCCUAUCCUUCCUGCUAACAAGAUAUGGUCUGCAAAGGUAACUCGAAAAUGUCACGUUCCUCGCUACUACCACGGUCUAGCUAGUCAAGGAAUAUCUAUGAGUAUCCUAGCUUAAACACCACGUCUACGCUAGAGAUGAUUACUCUAAACUCUACGCGAAGAGAUUAAAGUAAACUCAUAAAGCAAAAGAACAAUAAAACAAGAACUUACUAGAAUUUAGAAGUCGAAAUACUGAAGAAUCCUAGGAGCAAUCCUCGGGUUAGGAGAACUUGAUCCCGCAGGUACAAGCUCGGAGUAGACACCGACAGGCCGGGCUUCCUCCGGUCUACACCUCCACUCUAUCUCUCUCAAUCUAGUAGAAACUAGAAGAUUUUUUUUUGUACUCACAUUGGAUGCUAAGCCUAAAAAGAAAUUUUAUUUAGAGAAGAGGUUUUCCUUCGAGGGCUCCCCUCAACUCUAUGAUAAACUUGUCUCCUCCAGGGGCCAGGGGGUCUGGUUUUAUAGUCCCCUCAAGUGAACAUGAGCCAUUGAAUUAAACCGACAUUGGUUGGAUGGUUAUCCUUGAUGCUUUUGGUCGGUGGAGCGUCGUGUGCAAAAAGAGUCCUGAUUGGCAUCCAACAGAGGGCGGGCGCCCAGGUUAACUGGGCGGGCGCCCAGGGCCUGGCUCCAUUCGGCCUUUGCUUCCUUCCUGUGGCUUCUGGAGUCUACUAGAUGGUAGAAAAUUUCACGGUGCGUUGAUAUCUCUAUGUAAUCAUGACAUGUGGGCCUUUCUUCCUUUUUUCUUGAUAACCCCCAGCAGAAACAGAUAAACAACAAAACUAGUGGAAUUCUGUCAGAUCAAACCCUAAUUCUAGGUGUUGUUUUUAUAUUGGUCCUUUCUCUUGUUUAUUUGAUAAUUAAAAUUGAUACUUAAGAACCGUCAACAAGGGCGAACAGGGGGUAGCAUUCCCUCAGAAUCUGAGGAGUGUCCUAGCUCGAGAUGCCUGGAUCCCCCUACCCAAUAUGCCUCCGGCUCGCUUGGGCUUGCACCUCCGUGCGCAUGCCAGCUCGACUCUCCUGCCUGUCAGCUCGAACCUUUAGCCUUGUAGGGGUGAGCAACGUAUCCCAUACCAUAUCCAUAUCUAGGGGUAAAUCCGGGCGUAGGUAUAGCAGGGGUCCAUCCCAUCCCUGGCAUAGGUGGUUGUGGAGUGUGCUGUGCUGGCUGUGCGGAUGGUGCUGGCAGUCCUGCCUGUGCUGCCCUUGCUGCUUGUGCUGCCUACUCUUCUUCUUCCCUCCUCCGUGAGUUCUGCAAGAAACAGAGCUCCUGCGUCCACCUUCCCUAUCAAUGAGGGUGAAGGUGAGUGAUGGGGAAUUGUACAGAGCGAGAUCCGGGUUAGGUUACUGGAUCUCGUUUGUAUAUCCCGGAAAAUAAUAUAAAAUCUUUUUACCAAUUUCGUCGCGUUUAAUCAUAUGUGCAUGUGAAAUAUAUGAUUCAUUAAUCAUGAUACAAGGAGUAGUGAUGUAAAUAAUGGUAUUAGCAGCAUGGGGAUCAACACUUGCAGUAAGGCGAGUAAUAAGAGAUGUGCACAUGAUAGCAGUUGAAGUUUUAAUGGAACGCAACAAAUGAUUAACAAGCUCAACAAUAGGUGCAACCUUAAUCUUUUUGAGCACAGCAUAAAGCAACUUCAACUCUAUGUCGUAAGUAAGAUGCGUAUUAUCUCUUGAAAAGAACGAACUAGUGAUCCACUUAUGGAGAAUCCUCAAAGUGGGUUGAUGGAUGUUGGCAGAAUGCCCCUGGAACUUUCCAACGACGUGUUGCCCCGAGAUCAAAUGCCAGAAAGCAUGACGUUGGUAACCCCCGAGGGAGAAACCUAAGUCAAUGGAGCACCGCUCGUGGAAACCCAAACGGUUGGCAAGAUCCUUCCAAUAAAUACCGAAAUCUCUUCCAAAGUAAUGGAAGGUAAUACCAUAAUCCACAAUUUGUAGAGUGCCCAAAAUUUGGAUCGUCAAAAGACGUGACCCAAGCUCAUGAACGGGGGCAACUCUACUCCAACCAAGAUGCUCAAAAAUAGUAUCAAACUCAACAUCCAUACCUAUUUGGUGCAUGAUGUUGACGGUCCUUAAGUACUAAAAUUAAUAAUCAAAUAAACAUGAAAAAGGAUCAAUAUGAAACAAACAUCUAGAAUUAGGGUUUUAUCUGACAGAAUUCCAUGAGCUUUGGUGUUUAUCUAUUUCUGCAGGGAGUUAUCAGAAAAUAUGGAGAGAAGGCCCACAUGUCAUGUUUACAAUAAGAUAAUUAUGUGCCGCGCAAUUUUCCUCAAUCUAGAAGGAUCCAGAAGCCACGGGAACGAACGGGAAGCGAAUCGGGCUCGGGAGCUGGGCGGCCGCCCACCCCCCUUGGGCGCCUGCCCUGGCCAAGAGGCCAAUCAGGACUCUGCUUCGGGACAAGACUCCACCGACCUAAAGGAUCAAUCUAAACCAUACAAUCUAUGUCGGUUUGAUCCAAUGGCUCACGUUCACUUGAGGGGACUAUAAAACAAGAACCCCUGGCCCCUGGAGGAGAGGAGGAGAAAUCAUUAUUCAGAGGUAGCCAUCAAAGUUAGGGUUUAGAUCUCUCUCCCACAGAGAAUUAGAAUUAGCUACUCCCUAAUCCUUCAAGUUUAGAGGUUGAUUAGAUAGCAAUUAGAGAAGUAGAGCACUACGCUCUGGAUUCGGAUCUUCGGUAAUAAAGAUUGGUAUUAUUCAUAUCUUUCUCUAAUUCUAUUGUUCUAAUUGCAUUAUGUCUCUAAUUAUUAUGCUCUUAGUUUGCUCUAGUUCUAUAUUUGAUAUAGUUCUAAUUGAUAAUGAGUUUAUGUAUAAGUUUGCAAAGCGCUUAGCUCUUGACGCGAGGGAGUUAGGUGAUAGAUCACAUGUGAGCGUGGUGCUUAGAUGUUAUUUAUCUGCAAAUGUAUCCUAUUGGCCGAGUCGUGUGGUAGUUCGCGAUAGUGACAGCUUCGUUGAUUCUUAUAUAGUCCACCCUCCGUUGAUAGGACAGGCAGAACCGGUAUUGUGGAGUAAGUCAUGCGAUGUUCUGAUUUACUUUAUCAAUGUUCCUUAUACAUGAAUGAAGAGUCUUUUAUGCUAUAUAUGAUCUUGUAGAUAACUAGAGUAGAUUAUGACUUAGUAGUUAGUAGAUAACUUAGAAUCCAUUCUCUAGCUAAUCCGACAUCACCUACAUAUAUGAGGAGUAGUCUAUUUUCUAAUCGCUGUGCUCUUUAUCCCUUGAACUUAUACUUUAUUAUCAUUAUCUUUAUGGUUUACCCCCUGCUAAAGUAUGUGACUGUGUGACGAGUUUCUUAUUAGUAAUCAUGCUCUUGCAAGUUUAACUCUAGUCUAUGCCUUGAUAGAUUUUGUCCCUUGAUUUAAUUCCAUCUCCUUAGAUCCCUAGAGCAAAAUUAUAAAUAACGAUACCUGGAAUACUUAUCCUGGUGAAAUGCUACAAUGAGGUGUUUUAUCUGUGCGCUUGCGGAUAGAAUGGAUUAUUUUCUAAAGAGCCUUUACAUUUAUAAAUACCUUUGUACACUCUGGCGCCAUGCUAGGGAUGACAACCUAGUAUCUAAGUGGUGUUAGCUAGUGUCAACAAGCAUUUCUGGCGCCGUUGCCGGGGAACUUAUAGGAAUUAUACGAAUCUCAGGAAUAAGUCAUAAAAGGGAACAAAAGGGUAAUAUUAAGGAAGCCAGAAAAUCAGUCAAGGUUAUUCAUAUAAAAUAUUAGAGUAGACUAUAGAGAAAUAAUUGCAUAAAACUGCUACUAAGUGAGAAAUCAUAACAAGGCACCUCUGCUUUGGCAGGUUCACCCUGUUGUUUUUCUAUGUUUAUAUUUUUAUACAGGGUAUAACAGGAAUGACUUUGGGUACAUUCAACUCUUCAUCAUCAGAACCAAAGCAAUCAAGAGAAGAAGAAGCUAGCUACCAAUUGUUGAAGCUAUGGCACACAAGACCUUGCAAGAAUUCUCUGCUCCAAGUCUUGAGAACAUUCCAACCGGUCCAAGAUUUGCAGUAGAAGAAGGAAUACCCGAGUUUGAGCUCAAGUCAAGCCUCAUCAAUUUGGUACAAGCUACACAAUUCAGUGGAAAUGCACAUGAAGAUGCCAGUGCACACUUGCAGAAUUUCUUAGAAAUUGGAAGCACAAUCCACAUCAACGGAGAUAUUGUGUAGAAGGAAAAACGAGGAAGUGGUUCUACACUCAUCAAGAUAACAUCAACAACUGGACGAACUUGUCAGAUGCCUUUCUAUCAAAGUUUUUCCCUAUAGGCAAAACAACUGCCUUAAGAGGAAAUAUUGUCAGUUUCCAACAGCAGAAGACAGAAGCCAUUUCAGAAGCAUGGUAGCGUUUUCAAGGAUACAUAUCAGAUUGUCCUCACCAUGGAAUGGCUACAUGGUUACUUAUGCAGACCUUCUAUCAUGGAUUAACCCAUCAGACUCGUGAGUGCCUAGAUGCAUCUGCUAAAGGAUCAUUCUUCGAGCUUACAACUGGAAAAGCAGAGAUACUUUUGGUUAAGAUAGCAGAAAACCAAAGCUGGUUCCAAGAUAAAGCUCAACAAUGUCAUCAAACUGAAGAAAUACCAGAAGAAGUAAAUGCAUUAUCAACUAAGAUAGAAAAUUUGCUCCAUUGGAUUGACCAGAGGGCCAAGUUCAAAGAAGAUCAAAGGGCCAUUGAGACAGCAUACAAAUAUCAACCAACUUCGAGUCAACCCAAUAGCAAAGGUAUGAAUUCAGGUAAUACUAUCAAGCAACUUUCAUUAAAAGAGAUAAUUGCUCAACAAACCAAAAUUUAUGAUGAAGUUAAACAAAGGCUAGAUACAAAUGAAUCGUCUCUAAAAGAUAUACACAAUAAAAUGGAUUUUUUACUAACUGCCUUUGAUGAGCAAAACACUCUUAAUAAAAAGGUAGAGCUUAAAUUAAUAAAGAUAGCUGCUGCACUGCCUGUUGCUACUAACCUUGAGCAGGUAAAGAAUAUAACUACUAGAGGAGGCAAAGCCACCAGAGAUCCACCAUACCCAAAAGAGAAACAAAGAACAUCAGCACCAGUGCAACCAGCAGUGAUAGAAGAAGAAAGCCCAGUUGAAGCAGAAGAUCUGCUACAACUACCAAGAAAUGGAGAAAUGAGGAAAUAUUUUUACGACACCAACUAUUUGCCAUUUCCCAGAAGAAACAGAGGACUGCAGUCGGAUGAGCAGUUUGGUAAGUUUGUAGAGGUCAUUCAGAAAUUAUAUGUCAACAUACCUCUGCUCGAUGCCAUACAGGUACCUACAUAUGCAAAGUACAUCUGAGAUAUUCUUAAGAGACCACUGCCCACCACUGAGGUUAUCAAGCUGACAGAAGAAUGUAGUGCGGCCAUCCUCAACAAACCACCAAAGAAGAAGGAAGAUCCAGGAUGCCCCACUAUUGAUUGCUCGAUUGGAAACCAACACUUCAACAAUGCACUUUGUGAUCUCGGAGCAAGUGUCAGUGUGAUGCCAGCAUCAGUCUACAAAAAUCUUGAUCAUGCAACCUUAGAACCAACAUCAAUGUGCCUACAACUAGCGGAUCAAUCGGUUCGACACCCGUUGGGCAUCGCCGAGAACAUUCCAGUCAAGAUCAGAGAUUUCCUGGUGCCAGUAGACUUCGUAGUACUGGACAUGAGUCCUGACUCGAAAGUGUCCAUCAUCCUUGGAAGGCCAUUUCUGAGCACUGCCAAUGCCCACAUUGAUGUUGGGAAGGGAGAAAUCAAGUUCAACAUAAACGGUCAAGAAGAACACUUCACAUUCAAACCCAGACCAGAGAAAGACUCUACAGUGAAGGAAGUUCAUGAAGAACUACUGAAGACACCAUCUCCGGAGGAAGGUAACUAAGAAGAUUAAAAGAUUUGGAGGUCCAGCUUGGGGGACCUAAAAAUCCCAAACCCUCACCGGGAGGUAAAUCGGUAUUUACCCGCAUUAUUAAGUUUCUCAUAUUUAAAUUCUUGCAUAGUUAAAUCUUGCAUUAGUCAUAUAUAUUCAUAGCAUAAUUAUAAUAAUGAAAAUCCCCAUAUAAAUAAUAUUCAUGGUGUGUAACAACCCAUAUUUAUUAAUUAUUGUGGAGGCACAAAAAUAUUUUCCAUUAUCAUUUUCAAUAAGUUUCAAUUCUCAUAGAUUUUCCUGCAUUAUAUUUAAUUAUAUUGAUCUUCUAGAAGCAUGACCCACACUCCUUGGGUCCCACAUGUCAUACACUUCACCUCACAUACAUCCCAUCACAUAAUUUCAUCCACCAAUAUGUUUCCACUCACUUGACAUCUUUCCACCGUCCAACCACCACCAACACAAUAUUAUUCUGCGUGAGAUCAAAGCAAGGAAGCAAGUGGAGGAGGCACACCCAGGAUGGACACCAGGGGUGGGCGCCCGCCCACCUACCUUGGGCGCCCGCCCUGUCCCCUGCUCAGCCUAUAAAACUCCACCUCCAGCUCCCCUUCUCUUCACACAAACACUUCAGAAAACCACACAAAUCUCAGUUUCCCGAGAAGGAGUUUUUGUAUAGAGAAAGAGGAGAGUGGAAGGGAAGGUUGGAGUUCUUUUGAGAGAGUUAUUAUCACCUAGUAAGUAGUUGUCUAAGAGGAAGUAAAAGUUGUUUAGGGGGAGGCUCUACCAAAAUAGAAACUUGUCUUGAACGAUUAACCCCUGGACUACUGACACUCCGGACGGCUGACUACCAACAUUUUAUCUCACAUUUUCCACCAGUUGUGUUUUUGCCAACUUUUGUUUGCAGGAUGUUUAAGAAGGUGAAGAAUGCAGGGAAGGCUCUCAAGAACAUUGGUACAAGGAGUUCCGCCCGACACUCCUCAUAGCCAUCAGAGAUGAGUGUCGAUCCGACACCCACACAAGCUCCGUCAUCUUCAUCAGGUCAUCAAGUUAAGGUCCUUCUCAAGAUAGGAGACCUAGGACUGAAGAACCAAAGAGAGAAGGAAAUCUAUCAGCAACUGAAGAACAAAGAUUUCAUUCACACCCCUACUAUCGAUCCAAUCCUACUACGAGAAACAGGUAUGGACACUGAAUUUGACUUAAUUUUUCAGAUGAUGGGUUGGACAAAUUUUUGGAAUAUAACUGAGCUGGGUUCUCGUCUUCUCACCCUCGAAUUUCUUUGCACCUUACAAUACUAUGAGGGGGGAAUUGUUUUUCGGAUGUUUAAACAAGAAAUUAUGUUAUCCUGGAGAGAGCUGAGCGACCAUCUUGGUUUCUCUUCAAGAUGCAUCCUGAACAUUGACUCCGAUUUACCCAAUUUUGAGAGACACCAGUUUUGGAGAGAAAUAUCUAGAGAUAAUUUUUAUAGUCAAGCCCGAACCAGUGACAUGGAACACCCCACUCUUAGGAUGUUUCACAAAUGGCUUGGGUACAAUCUUUUCUAUCGUGAUGAUAUUAGGAAAGUAAGAGUAGGAGAUUUACAACUUUUAUAUGUUGCUAUUAGUAAAGUACCCACUUCACCUGUUACAUUAUUAGUUUCACAUUGGCUUAGUAUACCUAGUCUGCAGGGACCAGUAGGGUGUACUUCACUUAUCACUCGUCUAGCCACUAAUCUUCACUUACUAGAAAAUUCAUCGUUGGACUUCAUAGAAGAAUUAAGAAUUUACCAUGGCUAUGACACAUUUAGACAAGCUCGGAUGUUAAAGAAAGAGGGGAAUAUAAUGUAUAUGCUGUAUGAUGAUAAAGGCAAGAUUCGGUUACCUAACCCGAACCUUGGCCUCUACUCUGUGCAAAACUUUUUCAUUGAGAUUGCAGCAACACCAGUGAACCAGAGAACUCCACAGCGAGUGGCAUCUGAAAGGAUAACCACUCACCGAGAAGACCCUGGACCAGAAGAAGCAGCGCACCUGCAUUAUUGCGAUUACAAUCCACGAGUCCUUCGAGACCCAUGGGCUCGUCAUGCGCAACCACAAGAGCCAACAGAGGAGACAUGGCCGGAGAGCCAAGAUCACCAGUGGACAAACCCGCCUUUUCAUACGGGCAGGUACUCCACUGAUCCAUAUGGAGCUUCAGGAUCCAGACCUCCAUCCCAAGUUGAUGCAGGACGAUACUCCGAUGCCUCCUACGCCUUCACGAAUGACUAUUACCAAGAGGCCGGUGCUUUCUUCACUCGUACCGACAACACCCUCCUGGACAUCCAGAACACGCAAGCAGAACAUGGAAGACUCCUAGAAGAGCAACAAAAAUGGAACCAGGACCAUGCAGCUGUAGUAGAAGAGCUGAGACAAGAUACAACAACAAUGAACGACAACAUCACAACCAUGAUGCUGUUCUGGAACAUCGGGUAAGACCGACGUCAACAUCCAGCUUGGGGGAGUUUCUCCCCAAUUUAUCAAGUAAGUUUCUAUUUGCUCUUCUUAUUUAUUCUAUUCUGUCUUAGUAUUUAAUUUAUCUUAAAAGGAAAAAAACUUAGAAAAUCAAAUAAAUAUUUUCUUGCUUUAAUUUACUGCACUUUAUAAACAUGAAAACAAAAUAAAAAGAGUGUGUAGAUAAGUGUGCUUUAUUUACCUACUAAGUUCAAUCUCUAGAAAAAAUAAAAAGACCAAAAAUAUGCAUGAUGGAAAUGAUGAACAGUUGCUCUGUUUGCUUACUUACAAGUACCUAGCUUUUAUAUUAGAAUUCUUCCAAGAAUUACUAAAACUAAAAUUACUAUCUUUGGGAAGCAUAAAACUAAAUUCUAGGUAAAAGAAAGACAUGAUAUAAAGUUGAGCUACUGUUUAUCUUAUCCCUACUACACUAAGUUCUGGAGAUUUAUUUUGAAAACUUACAAAUCACAUGAUGAGUUCCUAGCAUAACAAAACUACCUACCACAGCCAUACUUGCUAUAACAUCUUUUACUAUAUUCACAUUGAGUUUAAUCGAGCUGUGUAGACCCUUAGGAGCUUUUCAUGUGGUUAAAUUAAGAUAUUCACUUGCACACAUCUACCACAGCAUUCAUCACCAAUCAUUAAAAUUGCUAAAAAUAUAAUCACUCACUGUCCCGAAUAUUGUUAUUCUCUCUCUAAAAAGAUUUAAUGCAGAAGAGGCAUGGGUUAUGCAAAAAUAUACGAGGAAAUAAAAAGGGACAAGUGCCCGGAACCUCGAAAAGAAAGAAAAAGAGUGAGACGAGAGGUAAAAAUGGACAAGUGUCCGGAGUAGAAUUAGGGGUACAAAGAUGCCCACUAGAGCGGAAAAAAUGGACAAGUGUCCGACAGUAGAAUUAGGAGUAUCUACUACCCAUCUUAAAAAAAAAGAAAGAGAAGAAGAAAAAGAUAGCCCAUGUUCUCCCAAAGCAAAGAUCAAAGAAGAGGAGAGAUAGCAAUAUAAGGAGCAAUGAGAACUAAAUUUUAUUAUUAUCACUUAUGCAUUUUCACCAUCACUAUCAUUUACUCCAUCACACAUGCACAUCUUGAUUUAAUUAUAUGCUGAGUUCCUUUGGAUCCAUGGCUCGAUUAGACAACAUAUGUAUGAGCUGUUUAUCACUCCUAUGAGCUCCACUUAAAUAUUCCAUUAGCUAUAGGUAAGUGAUAUUAUGGUAAGGAUCCACAAAUACCACAUAUACAGAGACUUGAGAGAAUCAUUGCUGGGAACUCUGAGUUUUAUUUUGAAAACUUAUGAAAAACUCUGGAACAAAGGUGAAGUAUAGACAGGAGAGAUAGUGCUUGACUUAACUAUUUUGUCUUUCGAUUACUUAAGACUUAAGUGCAGGUACUAAACUUCAUAACACUUCACUCUAAUAUGGAAGAAUUUUUAUAAAAGCAUGUGUGCCUGUCAGGAAAGAAAACAUCGAAGCAACUCCUGAUCCGUCUGAGUUUAGCUGUUUGCUCAGGGACGAGCAAAGGGUAAGCUUGGGGGAGUUUGUUGACGGUCCUUAAGUACUAAAAUUAAUAAUCAAAUAAACAUUAAAAAGGAUCAAUAUGAAACAAACAUCUAGAAUUAGGGUUUUAUCUGACAGAAUUCCACGAGCUUUGGUGUUUAUCUAUUUCCGCAGGGAGUUAUCAGAAAAUAUGGAGAGAAGGCCCACAUGUCAUGUUUACAACAAGAUAAUUACGUGCCGCGCAAUUUUCCUCAAUCUAGAAGGAUCCAGAAGCCACGGGAACGAACGGGAAGCGAAUCGGGCUCGGGAGCUGGGCGGCCGCCCACCCCCCUUGGGCGCCUGCCCUGGCCAAGAGGCCAAUCAGGACUCUGCUUCGGGACAAGACUCCACCGACCUAAAGGAUCAAUCUAAACCAUACAAUCUAUGUCGGUUUGAUCCAAUGGCUCACGUUCACUUGAGGGGACUAUAAAACCAGAACCCCUGGCCCCUGGAGGAGAGGAGGAGAAAUCAUUAUUCAGAGGUAGCCAUCAAAGUUAGGGUUUAGAUCUCUCUCCCACAGAGAAUUAGAAUUAGCUACUCCCUAAUCCUUCAAGUUUAGAGGUUGAUUAGAUAGCAAUUAGAGAAGUAGAGCACUACGCUCUGGAUUCGGAUCUUCGGUAAUAAAGAUUGGUAUUAUUCAUAUCUUUCUCUAAUUCUAUUGUUCUAAUUGCAUUAUGUCUCUAAUUAUUAUGCUCUUAGUUUGCUCUAGUUCUAUAUUUGAUAUAGUUCUAAUUGAUAAUGAGUUUAUGUAUAAGUUUGCAAAGCGCUUAGCUCUUGACGCGAGGGAGUUAGGUGAUAGAUCACAUGUGAGCGUGGUGCUUAGAUGUUAUUUAUCUGCAAAUGUAUCCUAUUGGCCGAGUCGUGUGGUAGUUCGCGAUAGUGACAGCUUCGUUGAUUCUUAUAUAGUCCACCCUCCGUUGAUAGGACAGGCAGAACCGGUAUUGUGGAGUAAGUCAUGCGAUGUUCUGAUUUACUUUAUCAAUGUUCCUUAUACAUGAAUGAAGAGUCUUUUAUGCUAUAUAUGAUCUUGUAGAUAACUAGAGUAGAUUAUGACUUAGUAGUUAGUAGAUAACUUAGAAUCAAUUCUCUAGCUAAUCCGACAUCACCUACAUAUAUGAGGAGUAGUCUAUUUUCUAAUCGCUGUGCUCUUUAUCCCUUGAACUUAUACUUUAUUAUCAUUAUCUUUAUGGUUUACCCCCUGCUAAAGUAUGUGACUGUGUGACGAGUUUCUUAUUAGUAAUCAUGCUCUUGCAAGUUUAACUCUAGUCUAUGCCUUGAUAGAUUUUGUCCCUUGAUUUAAUUCCAUCUCCUUAGAUCCCUAGAGCAAAAUUAUAAAUAACGAUACCUGGAAUACUUAUCCUGGUGAAAUGCUACAAUGAGGUGUUUUAUCUGUGCGCUUGCGGAUAGAAUGGAUUAUUUUCUAAAGAGCCUUUACAUUUAUAAAUACCUUUGUACACUCCGGCGCCAUGCUAGGGAUGACAACCUAGUAUCUAAGUGGUGUUAGCUAGUGUCAACACAUGAAUGUGUGGUUGAAUGCCGGGGAAUGGAGGAACUCGCGUUCCUUCAUGAGGUUGUAUGCCUGCAUCUCCCGCUCUCUCUCCAAUUUAUGAAGGGGGCGUCGGCCUCAUCAAUGGCAUGGCCGUGUGGCUCCUCCUCCUCUCCUCCAUGUGCUGGCUGCUUGUUCCUUGCAGGGGUUGGUGGAUGUUCCCCAUGUUGGUGGCGACUCCUUCUAAGCCCAAAAAUUCUACUCAUGGUGGACGAGCUAGCACAAGUGUAUGGUGUUUUUGCUUGGAGAGGGAUGUGUGCAAGAGGUUUUUGAUAGAAUUUUCUUGCACUAAGCAUGUGGAGUAGGCUAUGAAGCAAAGUGGAGCAAGAGAGUGAAGAAGGGAAGAAAUAAAAAAAAUAUGUGUGAGAGGGGUGUGGUGCUCCACCCAGGAUCCUCUCUUUUUAUAGAGUUGAUCGUAGGUGGGGGAGCGCCCCCCUCAACAGCUACUAGCCGUUGCCCAUAGGCCGAGGCCAGCAGGCCUUGGGCAGGGUGCGGCCACACCCUGCUGUGCACGUACCAUUGGUGGCCCACCUCUGCCCGGCUUUUUGGCUGCUCGCUCCAAUGGUCACCCCAAACGUCUCUUUAGUUAUGAUCAGACUUGGUUCAAAAUCUUGCUCCAGAUUUUGAUUUUCCACAUAUUUAUUCAAAAUAUUUUUGGUUUUCAAAAAUUAUAUAAAAAUAAGAUUUGGAAACGGGAAAAUCUAUACUACCAGAAAAUAAUUUUUAUAAGAUUUUCAGAGAAAUUUUAUUUUUGACUAAAAAUAAAACUAUAGAAAGGGAAACUUUUGGAAACUAAAAAUAAAAACUUUCUAUAAAACGGGAAUUUGAAACGAAAUUUAAAGAAUUUAAAAAUACAUAAUACCUGAGCGGGGACACCUCCCCCAAGCUUGCUUGAUGUCGUGGACCCCCUUCAGAUAUCUUUAUUGGGACACAAAUAGCACCAAAUUUAUUUUUAUUAUAUAUAGUUUUUUUAAUAACUACCAAAUUCCUUCGGCAAGGGCUGAACAUUUAUAGUCCGUUGGCAAGACUCUCCUUCCUUCAUUCUUCUGUGGUUGCAUGGAUGAACUCAAUAGAGGUUUUCGGUUGCCCUGCGAUCCUCUAUGUGUCAGUGACUGGAAUUGAUGCAGCCAUCUAUGCUAUCUGUGUUUCUAUCCUCUUGUUGAAACUCGUCUGACUUUUGACAGAUGAACAAAGAGUUUCAAGCUUAGCGUUGAUGUUCUCAAUGAUCUUGUCAUUGUAGGACAGCUUUUUGGUCAGAUUCUCGUUGAUUUUAGCUUGCCCUAUGAUCAGAUCUUUCAAGGAAGGCUGAUUGAAGAAAUUACCCUGCGGGCGGUGCUGAUUGUUCCACACAUUGUUACCUUGCUGUUGUGGCCGAAACCCAUUGUUGACAUAUGCUGCUUCUUCUUGGGUUUCAGGGCACUUGUUCCCUGAAUGGCCAUCAUCACCACAAACUUCACACGAUGUGUGUGAGUUCACUGCUUGGACGGUGCCCAUGUUGGGAUUUGCAACUUGUCCCUCCAUCCUUUGCAGCAGCAAGUCUAUUUUUGCGGCAAGCACAUCUGCCUCCUUCGCAGAUUGCGAGCCUUUUUGUGUUUUCCUUCCUUCUCCCCAGCUUUGAUUUGCCACCAUCUUCUCGAUGAGGGCAGUAGCUUCAUUAAUGCUAAGAGAAAGGAAUGCAGCUCGAGCUGCGGCAUCUACGUGCCCCUUUGACAUGGCCGUGAGGCCUUCGUAGAAGUUCUAGAGCAGAAGCAAGUCUUCCAUUCCAUGAUGAGGAUAGGCCCGGAUGUACUCCUGGAGCCUCUCCCAUGCUUCGGGUAUGGACUCAAGUGAAGACUGCUGGAAGAUAGAGAUUUUCCCCCUCAGAGCGCUGGUCCUACUCAUGGGGAAGAACAUGGCGAGGAAUGCCGCGGAGCACUUUUCCCAUGCUUCAAUAGCUUCCUUGUUCUGAUAAAACCAUUGUUUCACCUUUUCGGCAAGGGAAAAGGGAGACAGAUGGAGCCUGAUGCUGUUCUGUGCGACGUCCUUGAUGACGACGGUGUCGCAUAGCUCAAGGAAGUUCUGAAGGUGGGCGUUGGCAUCCUCGCUUGGCAGGCCAUAGAAUUGGUUUGCCUGCACCAUCGAGAUGAGGCCAGUGUAGAUCUCGAAGCUUUGAUUCCCCACAUUGACAGCGGGCCUAGUCGGCACAUUGGCAACAACGGGAGUGGAGUAGUCACGGAGUGUCUUGGCCAUAGCAAUUGGUGCGGUUGGUGCUAGAAUAGUUGAUUCGCUUGGCAGUUGCGUAGCAGAAGAAGAGAUGGUAUGAACCCUUCCCUUCCUUAGGAGUGUUUCUGGAUCAUUGUGGAAGUUUGCCGACAAGUUGAAAUUGCUCAUACACUAUCCUGUUUUCAUUCCAAUAAAAAGAGGAAGAAAACAGUAAAGUUAUCCUCCUUAAUCUAUGGCUACCAAUGUUUAUUAUGCAAUCAAUGUUUAUGCCAGUAUGGUUUUUUGUCUUCCACGGCAAUGGCGCCAGAAAUGCUUGUUGGCAUUUCUGAGCGUCACUACUAAAAAUAGACCAUAGAUCCAUCCUUAGCAAUGUCACUAGAAAUGUUGGGUGUCGGCAUACCGUAACUAUCACUACAUGAGAGAGAUAACCCAAGGCAACUUGAGGGCACCGGCCUUAGCAGUGCAGUCUGGUAACAAUAAUUAGGAAUGUCGAAUUGGCAUUCCUAACCAUCCUUACUUGCGAUAUGCAAAGCUGUGGCACUACGCUUGAAAGUGCACAAGGAUUACAAUCUUAAGUAAUGGUACUUAGGUACGCCAAUCGAAAGUUCAUGAAUGAAGAAGUAAUAUAAUUGCAAGUGGACAAAACUAUCAUUGUAGCAUUUCAACCCGUGAGUAUUCAAGGGUGUCGAAUUUAUAAUUCCCGUAGGAAGGCAAAGGGAUCAAACAUGGUGUAAAUAUGAUUACUUAUUGAAUGCUUGGUAGACAUAUUGUAAACAGGAAUAAACAUGAUAUUCAAGAUAGUGGACACACAUUGGAUCAACCUCAAGGAUAAAAUAGAAUAAAAAUAAUAAAUAAAGAAUAAAGAAAUAAAUCUACUUGAGCAGGAAUGGGUCACAUAUAACUAUGCAUAGAACUGUUAGCAGAUCAUCUAAUUAGCAAUAAAUAGAGUUAGAACUAAGCCUGAGAUCAGGGGAGAUCCCCGCAGCUGGAUACCUAGUUGAUAGAGACUUUACAGAACUCCUAUCGGAAUACCUGAUCGUGGAGGAGUGCAAAGGAUGACAGAGCUAUCACUACCCUGGCACCUACCCCUCUACCCGAAAGAUACCCGCACAUCCACUGAUUCUCGCAUACCUGAACACCAUUUUCAUGUAAUUGGGAACAACUCCUAACCCCCACGGGCCCCACCCCUUCGGAGUGACAGGCAAGGCUAAGAGCAACCAUCACAGCACAGUGAACCAUCAUCCCAUUCCUAAUUCUAAUCCUAAUCAUACUAAUCUGAUGAACAAUGAAGAACAAUGAUGAACAUAUCAAGAACAUAGCACAAGAACUAAGAACUAGUUCUUAUACUAUGAACAUGAUAAGAACACAACCAUACGCUAGUUCAUAUGCAUAAUCAUAUAAAGAUGAAUAGAACUUGCUCAUGGAAGAAGAUUGAAUAUUAUUCAUACCAAGAAGAUCCUUUCUUCCAAGGAGACAAGCUCUCUUUGCUAGCUCUUGCCUUGCUCUACUACUAAUCUAGACUAAACAUACAAGUGAGAGGUGUGAGGUAAAUUGACUGCAAAUGAUGUGUGUGUUGAAAAGGGGGGAGUGCCUCUCUUUUUAUAGUGGAACUAGGAUGGUUUGUCGCAUCUAAAUUUGGUAGUAGGUGAAACCGUCCUAUGCAUGGCGGCAUGCAACCGCCUGAGAAAGAUGGGCCCAGUUUGCCGCCUCCAGGGGUGCGCCCGCACCCUGGGUGGGUCCCCCUGGCCACCGCCUUCGUGUGGUCGGUUUGGCUCUGGGCCUGGAUCUCUCCCGUGGUUACGAUCAGGCCCAGUUCUGCGUUGUUUGGGCCUUUCUCUAUUUUCUUGGUCUGCGCAUUUCUGAAUACAUCCUUUGGUACUUUGCGCUUUCUUCGUGGUAUGGCACAUUUUCACUUGUUGCACUAUAAUUCCUGCAAAAUAUAAUCACUAUGGUACAAGUGGGGUACCUGUGUGUGGGGUGCCAAGCUUGAAAUUCCUGUUUUGCAUGUUCAUACUGUGGUUGGGUUGAAAUGAUUUUUCUGUAGGUAUGCUAACCACGUUCUCGCAUAGAGCGCUAGUUACGUUAUGAGAGAAUGUUGUGUGCCACCGCAUAUACCGAUUAGUAUUGACUUUUGUUUCUGAGUUUGUGAGAUCGUAAGUUUCGUGCAUGCAUCAUGUUCAUUUCAUAUCAUUACAUAUUUCCUCCCCUUAUUUAAAUCUGUCCCAUUUUCAAUAGAAAUAAUAAAAGAUAAUCCUCAGUCUUACCCGAGGUAUUCUAUUUUUAGCAGAUGGCACGCACCAGGCUCACCGCUCGCAAGUCAACUGGUGGGCGGGCUCCCCGCCAUUAGUUGGCACCUAGGGGCUUGCGUCAUAAGAGCAAGUUCAUAAGAGAGUUUGGGAUGCCUACCUUGCUUUGGAGGGUGCUCAGUUCGAUGGGGUAUCCUGAAGGAAGGGAACCUCACUACUAUUGGAGCUCAGAGCAGCUUGGUGAUGGGACCCUGGUGGGGAUCGAGGCAGUGGUUCCCACGAGUGGCGGUGACCCCGCCUAGGGUGGCUGGGUGUACGAGUCCCGAGGCAGCACACCUUUCUAGGGUGCUAGAGGGCUGCUUUUGCAGUUCUGAGCGAUGUCAUGGAGAGGUUUCCAUAGGAGCUAGCUCACGCCUUCACUGGGGUCUUUCCCCAGGGUGACCCCUACACUUUGCUGUGGGAUCAGUCCGAGGGGAGUGCUCUAGAGAGGAGUGCAGAUGAGGACCAGCAUAGUGACAACAUAGCUAUGAGUGCCAUGUUUGCUAUGAUGAAGACCUAUGGGGGUCUAGAUUUCUAUUUGGGGUGUUUGUCUGGGUCUCUGCUGACAGUUUAGGAUGAGAAGCUCCAGCUACAGCAUGAGUUUGAUAGUGAGUUCGAGAGGCUGCAUUCAGAGCUGUCCCGUGUGACUCUAGAGUGGGACCAGGCAGUCCGGCAGAAUAGUGUGCUGAGUCAGAAUCUGCUAGCAGUAAGAGAGUAGAAGGAUAGGGUGACCAUAGCUCACAGGAAUUGCGAGCGCAUGCUAGUUCAUGUGCUUGGUCAGAGGAAUGAAGCCUGGCACGAGGAGGACACACUGAGGGCCAGACAACAAGAGCUUGAGCAGCAGUUAGCUAAUGCUGAGGAGUACAAUGAGAUCCUGCAUGAGGAGAUCCACCAGUUGCAUAACCAGCUCCAUCCUCAUCACUUGCCUGGAGCAGCUGAGAUAGACUCUAAGGAUGAGAUGGAUGAGGACCUAGAGAUGGAGGAGGCCGCUAGUGGAGAUGAUGAUGGCGACGGUUCCAGCAUGGACAGCAACCAUAGCAAGUAGAUGCUAGGGCUCUAGAGCUAGUCCUUCUUCUUGUUGUUGAUGUUGCAUGGCAUGUACCUAUAAUCCAUUUGAAACUUGGAUGUGUGAGACCUUCUGUGUUUGAGUUAUGUUGAUGCUGAAAGUCUAGUGUAUGUAUGCUGGCAAUUUUGGAUGUAUGCGAACCGCGUUGGCUAUGUGCUAAGUAAUCAGUUAGUGAUGUUGUGUGUGGAUGAUGAAUUAUUGUGCCUCUGUUUAUUGUGUGGAUUUAUUCUCAUUAGCAAAUUCAGUGUGGCAUGAUUUUACAUAUGUCUAUUGGUUGAUAACAACUCCUAACGAUUGCUUAUCAUUGACGCAUGCAGAUGGUGCAAACGCGUGGUAGGGGUAACCCUAACCCCGGUGCUGGAGAAGGUUUUUCUGGAGGUGGGGCUCGCAGGAAUGAGGAAAGAGCACCAUCACCGCCAGCACCACCACCCCCUUCGUACACCGCGGAGGUGUUCUUCACACAGUUUCUAGGAAGCCAACAUAACAUGGAACAAAUGCAGCAAACCAUGGAAGCUACCCUCCGCAAUAUCGCUGACAACACCAACCAUAGCUCUUUCAAGGACUUCAUGGACACCAAACCACCGGUCUUGAAGGAGGUCACGGAACCGCUCGAAGCCGAUGAGUGGAUUAACACAAUGGAGCAGAAAUUCUGCCUUCUUCGGAUGACUGAAAAGCUAAAGGCAGAGUACGUAGUGCAUCAGUUAGAGGGGCCUGCUAGGAUUUGGUGGUCCCAUCAUCAUACCACCUAUCUAGAGGGAACCCCAAUCACCUGGAACCGCUUCACCACCGCUUUCUGGGGAAAUUACAUCCCUCCGAGUUUAGUGGAAAUGAAGAUUGGAGAGUUCAUGAAGCUGUCUCAGAGAACCAAGACUGUGAAAGAAUACAUGCACGCUUUCAACAACCUUGCUCGUUACACUCCUGAGUUUGUUAACACAGAUGCUAAGAAGAUUGCUAGCUUUCAGAGGGGCCUGAGCCCAAAGAUGCUGAAGACCAUGGGUACAGGGACCCGAGCUACUUUCAAUGCCUAUAUCAGUGACUGUCUGACCCAAGAGAGCAAUAACAACAACUACAGUGCAUCCAAGUCACACAAGAGGGCUUUUGAAGCUGGAUCGUCUCAGUCCAGGGCACCAGUGGUAGGGCGUCAGCAGUAUCGUCCUGCUGCCCUGGGUGCUAGGUUCCGACCUACACCAAGAAGGAACACGGGGCAUCCAACUCAGCAGAAGCCAUAAAAGGUAGCAGUGGCUCCAACGAAGCCAAGAGCCAAUCAAGCCGCAGCACCUGCUACCAACUCUAUGACCAAGGGGCCGAGCUACAACUGCCACAAGAUGGGGCACUUCGCCAAGGAAUGUCCCUAUCCCAAUAAGCAACAAACGACCUACCCAGCCCGUGUGCAUCACACCUUCAUCGAGGAGAUUCUGGAAGGAGAACUGGUAAUAGCUGGUAUGUUCCCUGUCCACCAACAUAUUGCAGUUAUUUUAUUUGAUUCUGGAUCAUCGCAUUCACUCAUGAGCCAAGCAUUUGCGCAAAAACAUGAUCAAUCGGUUACCGAGUUGGGUUGUGGUUAUCGCAUCAGUUCGGCUGGGGCUGAUGUAUUGACCAACAAGGCAGUAACAGGAGCAACUUUGGAUAUCAGCGGCCGAAGGUUUUGCGUAAACCUUGUUGUCAUGCCAAGGUUAGUUUUGGAUGUUAUCAUUGGCAUGAAUAAGACGAUAGAUUGGGGUGCAGUCAUAGAUGCAGGUCAGAGGACUCUCUCCCUUAAGGAUCCAAAGUGGGAGGGAGUGUUUUAGGUUAAAUUACCUCGGUGGUUUGACUUUACCAGCCUUUCUUGUGCUAUACAAGUGGUUCUGUUAGAGCACAUACCUGUAGUCUGUGAGUUUCCCGAUGUUUUUCCAGAAGAGUUACUGACUUCCCCCGGAUAGGGAAGUGGAGUUUGCUAUAGAGUUGAUAACAGGUACAACACCAAUCUCUAGAAGACCGUAUCGGAUGCUGCCAAAUGAACUGGUUGAACUGAAGACUCAACUGAAGGAGCUGCUAGACAAAGGUUUCAUCUGGCCUAGUUCAUCUGAAUGGGGUUGUCCGACACUGUUUCUGAAAAAGAAGGAUCAAUCCUUGCGCAUGUGUGUGGACUAUCAUCCACUCAAUGUUGUUACCAUCACGAACAAGUAUCCUCUACCCUGAAUCGACAUCCUGUUUGACCAGUUGUCUAAAGCAAAAGUGUUCUCCAAGAUAGAACUGAGGUCCGAGUAUCACCAGAUCAAGAUUCGACCGCAAGAUAUACCAAAGACUGCUUUUUCUACCAGAUAUGGGUUGUAUGAGUAUCUUGUCGUGUCCUUCGGAUUGACAAAUACUCCUACAUACUUUAUGUAUCUAAUGAACUCAGUCUUUAUGCCAGAAUUAGACAAGUUUGUGGUGGUGUUCAUCGAUGACAUUCUGGUUUAUUUGGAGAGUGAGCAAGACCAUGCUGAGCAUUUGAGGGUUGUGCUGACUCGACUGCGGGAACAUCAGUUAUAUGCAAAGUUUAGCAAGUGUGAGUUUUGGCUUAAGUAGGUUCCAUUCCUGGGGCACAUUCUGUCGAAAGAAGAGAUCAUCGUGGAUCCAGCAAAAGUACAAGAGGUCAUGGACUGGAAGGCACCAACUUCUGUCUCAGAUGUUUGAAGCUUUCUUGGAUUGGGCGGGCAUUAUCAUCGUUUCAUCCGCGACUUCUCCAAGAUUGCUAAGCCAAUGACUAGUUUGCUGCAAAACAGAUCCAACAAACAUGGGUGGGGACAUUCUGGAAAGCUUAUGAAAUUUUUUACAUUUCAACUUUAGACAUCACAGCAAGAUUCACAAGUUAAACAGGUCAAUUAAACAAAGUUCCAGGUUCUGUCCCAAAAAAAACAGAGAAUACCUAUUUCUGAAACCCAACUUGGAAGAGCCAUAACUUUUAAACUACUGGACCAAUAGAUCCCAAAUUUAAGCCACAGCUAGUUCAUAAAGUUUACAACAUCUUUUAUUUCGACAAGUUAGUCAGAAAACAAAGUUGUCAUUAAGCAAAGGUCAGAUUACUUCCUUGCUGUCCAGAAUAGCUUUUACCCCUUUAAUUAAUUAUUUGAUGACAUAACCAAAACAUAUUUAGUGCCAACCUAACGGCUUACAAGUACAAGCACAACCUAAGAUUACCAGAACAUCCCAUGUUGACCCCUAAACAUUAAAUAACAUGGCAUUUAUUUAUUAAUUUAAUUCUAUGAAGAGACAUAAUUACAAGACACCAGCAAAAGUGCUGAGAAAAAUCUACAAAAAUUACAGAAGCACAAGCAUAGCAUCUUGACAUUACCAUAAAAUUUUCAGAGCAAUUGCACAUGCCAAACUUAAGAUAAGUACUUUACAAGUAACAAGGUGCUUAUUUCAUAAAUUAAGAAACAUGGCUUAGAUAGUGUCAAACAACAUAUUUCAGAUUAUUUACAUGUUACUAUUACCAUAAACAAGCUUGACACCAAAGUAGAAUAUCAGCAUAAGCAUAAAUCAUUUAUUAUGAUUUAAAUAAGAAAACAAGCUAUAGAAUCAACAUAAAUUUCAUAUCAAAGAUACAGCACUCCAAAAAUCAUGAAAUAUUUAUCACAGCAUUCUAAUACCACACAGAGACUACCAUAACAAUUUCAUAACAAAAGGAGCAGUAUAUCAACAGAUAUGAAUUUACAAUUAAAUAACAAGAUUAAAUCAUAACAAUUAUUUUUCCCAGAAAACAUGGUACAUUUUAUAUUUUUAUUAAACACUAGCCAUCUCAAGGAUCAUCACAAAAUUUGUUUCACAAAUUUUAGAGCUCAGAAACUGGAGAUAUGAUUUUUGCAAGAUUGCAAGAAAUCUGGAUUUGAAUAAAAGAAAAGGAGGGAAACGAUGUGUCAUUGACAGCGGGUCCCGCCUGUCAGAUUUGUCUUCCUCACGACCGAGACGACUUUCACCGGCGAUUUCUCCACGAUGGCGAGGUCUCCGGCCAAACCAAGGGCACCAACGUGAUCCCCAGACCUUUGCAAACCGGUUGACCCCAUUUCCCCACGGCGGAGCCACCGAAAGGGGCUUGCCGUCGACCAUGGCGACUCGGCGGAGGUGCUCGGCGUUACGCCGACGCUCUCAGGCCGGUAGAGCGAGACCUAGGGUUUCCUACAGCACCAGUGAACUACGGCGAAACUUUCUAGGUAGGUGGCUAGGCUUGAAACGGUGUGGAACGAGCUGGCCACGAGAGGGCCGAGCUUCGGCGGAAACACGGCGGCGCUGCGCGUCGUGUCCGACAACGGUGAGUGCGGUAGAGCGUCCACCAAGAGGCGCAAAUGCUUGCUAAGGUCCUAAGCUACCUCUAGAACCUAACUAGAGAAGACGAAAAGCUCCGAGGAGCUCAACAUUGAGUUCGCCGGAGAAGAAGGUCACGACGAACCGAUUUGGGGGAAGUUGGAAAUGUCGGCUCACCGGAGGGUUUCACGACGAGUUUGCUGGUGGAGGUUGGAGAGCAGGUCACGGCAGAUCUGUGGGUGAGUUUUGGUGGACAGCAACGCAGCGAGGAGCGCGUUCGAGCUCGCCGGAGUGAGCUUGCGAUGGCGACUCUGCAGCGGCCGCGUUUUUUGCGAGAGAGUGAGAGGAAGGAGAGAAUGGACGUGUCCACUGCGUCCGGGUUGUCGCCGUGGAGGUCAUGCGGCGUUCGGAGCUGACGAGCGGGGCCAGAGAUGAUGUACGGGCGCCAAAUGUCGCCGUUGUUCUGUCGCCGGUCGGCCACGUCGACGAGCUCGGCUUCCAUUCAGGCAACGCAAUGCACGACUGACAUAGCCACUACGAUGAUUAUCUCCCAAACCAUGGCAAAUUAGUAGAUGGCGUAGUUGACAAAGUUGGAGUACUAGCUGAGUUCUACAACAUUGUCAACUGGAGCAAGAGCCAGAUCGGCCUGGAUCAAGAUAUAUGAAGUUCCCAAAAUCGAUCGAGCAAACUGGUGGCGCCAUGACUUACCCAAAUUUGGUUAAGUGCCAAAACAGCACCCAAAACUGCCUUGCAAGCACUUUUUGAACAUGAUGUGGUCAUUUUCAUGAGAUGGCCAUGAAACAUCUUUUGUUCCUUAUAAAAUUUGCUACAACUUUGCUUUAGGAAGUUUUGACAUGCAAAAAUUUUAUGAAGCACUUUAUAAAGCCUAAGCAAAAGAGGUUUAUAGGGCCUAUAAAUGGAAGUAUGACUUAAGUACUUAAUUUGGAGAUGUGAUAAACAUGAACAUUGUUCCAAAAGUUGAGUUAAGCAUAGAUAAACUAAUUACCAAAACAUAGCACACCAACAUGAGCAUGGCAUAAGCAAACACAAGCAUAGGAAGCAUAUUUAAGCAAGUUAAAUCAUACUUUAGCAUAAAAGGACAUGACCCAAGGUAAAUGAUGAUCAUGAUAUGCUUAUCAAGAUGAUGAUGCUCAUGUUAUGCAUGUGAAUGAUGCAACCAUAACACUGGGGUGUUACAACCACCGCCCGCUAUUGGAGCUCUUGAGCCUCCACCGCCUUGUUCCGAAUGCGCCACCGCCUCUCGCGUCUUCUUCCUCCUCCCCGAGCUCCACAUCCGCAUCACCAUGCUCAGACGAAAUCUUCUCACUCAGGUGAGGCUUACCAGGGCACUCAAUCGCUCGUCGGAGUGCGCGAGACCUCACCGGAGCUCUCCGCGACGCUUGUGUUCCUGUUUCUUCCCUUUCUGGCCUCUUCUUUCCUCGCUACUGCGCACAUUUCUUUCGUCGUAGCUUCCAGAGUCGCAUUCGCUCGCUCAUUCACGCUCUACCGGUGUGUGGUGGCCGGCACCACCGCGGCAGCGCUGCCGGUCCGCCAUUGCCGGUGUCCAGCUCACUGUGCUCUUCCAUUGGUCGCGUUAUGGGGUGGAAUCGAGUUGCACGGGUGAGGCGGGCGUGAUGAUGUCCUUGGUUUCGGCCGAGAGGACUUGUUGGGUAUUCUUAACAUCAUUACCAAAAGUAGACAGUUUUCUAAAUCUGAUAACGGUGCCAAAAAUGCCAAACCUAUCCCUCAUACCACUUAAGCCAAGUUGUCAUCCCCAGUAUGAUAUAAGAGAUGCGGUAUUGAAAUAUGCAAUUGCUCUUCUAAAUAAAUAAUGAAUGGGAUCUGCAAGCACACAGAUUAAUACCGAUGUAGCAUUUUAACCGGGAAGUAUUCCAGGUAUCGUUAUUUAUAUUUUUACCACUGGGAAGGGAUUAACAAUCAUCAAUAUUGAUUACAGAAUAGAAUAUGAGAUUGAGUAUCUAUUAUUGCAUGUAUAAUUUAGAACAUUUAUCUAACUCUUUCAUACAGAGAUAAGUGUCACAUAAAAGAUAUAUGAAGUAAUGAAUAGUGACAAAGAUAAUUAAUCUGAUCAGCAUAACUUAGCCACAUAAUAAAUAUGAUAAGCACCUCAAUUAGAUACUCUAGAAAGUCAUUAGCAUGGUAUUAGAAUGAACUACAGAAAUAUGUCCUAAGUUAUUCUCAACUAUAUAGUCUAGCAUUAUCAUAGUUAGUGCAAGCAUACUUAGCAAUCAUUGCGAGACAAGACUAAGCCCAUGCAUAGUGAUAUUAGCAAGGUAAAUGAGAAAUAUAGCAAUCACUCCCCUGUAAUAAUGUUGCUCUGCCAGCCCAGUACACGAGAGGGGGACUAUAUAAGAAUCAAUGAAGCUGUCACUAUCACGAACUACCCCACAAUCUGGCAUAUUGGGUACAAUUGCAGAUAAGUACGAUAUAAGCACUGUUGACGGUCCUUAAGUACCAAAUAUAAUCAACAAAUAAAUAAAGAAAAGGAUCCAAAUGCAAGCAACACCCAGACUUAGGGUUUUAUUUGACAGAAUUCCAUGAGUUUUGGUGUUUGUCUAUUUCUACAGGGGGUUAUCAGAAAAUAUGGAGGAAAGGCCCACAUGUCGGGUUUACAUAGAGAUAUUAAUGUGCCGCGCAAUUUUAUAUCAUCUAGAAGACUCCAGAGGGCUCAGGGACAGGGCGCCCGCCCACCUAUUUCGGCCAAUCACGUUCAACUUCGCGGAUUAUGCUCCACCGACCUAAAGGAUCAGGAAUAACCGUUCAAUCAAUGUCGGUUUAAUUCGACGGCCCAGAUUCACUUGAGGGGACUAUAUAACCAGACCCCCUGGCCCCUGGAGGAGGCACCCCUUGAUCAUUAUUCAUUAUUCAUAGACAGAGCAAAAGCUAGGGUUUGGAGAUGAGAGCUCUCCUCUCAUCUCUAAACUAGAGUAGAUCUAGAUAGUAGCGAGAUGGAGAGCGAGGCAGGAUUGGAGGAGAGGCCGGCCUGUGGGUUCUUCCUCCAGUUGUACUUCGUCAUGAUCAAGCUCUAAUCAAGCUUGCUCAUGGGAUGACUCUGGUAAUCUACUUCUAAUUCAUUAAGCAAUUACUAAUCAUGUAUGUUCUGGUUCACAACUCUUUUGAGUACUUUAAUCUAUAGGACGCUAUAGGUGAGAGUUAUAGUAUAGGUGUAAGCGAGGUGCUUAGACCUAGAUUACUUGUGGAUAUCCCCUGUCUAGCUGGAUCGUGUGGUAGGCCGCGUAGGUGACAGUUACUUUGGUCCCCUGUAGUCCACCUCUUGUUAGCAGGAUGGGUAGGGUUUAUCGGCCUAUGGAUAAGCAUCCUUUGUUGUGUAUUCUUGUCACGUGGUUCGUCCCAGACAUAGACAUACCCCUUUUGAAGUAAAGAAACCAUAGUUAUCCUCUCUAUUCUGCUACCAUCGCCCAUAUAUUAGAUUGCUCUACUCUCUAUUCGUAUAUUAUCACCCAUUGUUAUCUUACCUUUAAUAUUGUUCUUAUUCAAUUCUACCAUCUUUCCUAUUUACACUUAUCUAUUUAUCUUGGUUAAGUUAGAGCGUAGUUGGUUCUCCCAUUUCCCUAGGGAUACGAUAAAACCUUUAACCGGGUAAAAGCUACGACGGUAUCCGUGCGCUUGCGGAUUAUCUGUGUGCGUAUAAAUACCAUAGUACACUCUAGUGCCAUGCUGGGGAUGACAAUCUAGUAUUCAAGUGGUGUUAGCAAGUGUCAACAAGCAUUUUUAGUGCCGUUGCCGGGGAGACGGUUGCUGAGUUGAUUACGAUCUAGCUUAAUCAUUUUCUAAAAAAAUAAUAAAAAAUAUAAUAAAAAAUAUACUCUUCCUUUUAUCUUUUGCCUUAUCUCUACUAUUCUUUCUUCUUAUCUAAUCCUUGAUCUCUGGUCUAUCAAGAAUUCAAACAUGUCUAUCUAUGAAUUUCAUAGACCUAUGGGCAAACAUCUCGAACCACCAAAAUCUUCAAAGCCUAUCAUAGCAUCUAGUUUUGAGAUAGACCUCGAAUACAUAGAAUUCAUUCAAAAACAACCUUUCUCACGAGAAGGUGAGGAAAACCCAUACACACACCUAAGAGAGUUUUAUCGAGUCUGUGACCUCCUUCGCAUAGAAGGCAUGUCCGAUGAGACCCUUAAAUGGAAGCUCUUUCCGUUCUCUUUAACAGGAAAGACAUUGGUAUAAACUUAAAGUAGGGAGUGUUCAUGGAGAUUGGAAGGAUUUAUAUAAUAGUUUUCUUUUUAAAUAUUUUCCAAUCUCCAAAGUGGCAGAACUUCGGCGUGAGAUUCUUUCUUUUGUACAACUAGAAGAAGAAUCUCUUGGCAAAUCAUGGGACCGCUUUAUUAACCUUACUCUCAUUGGCCCAAAGUUUUCUAUUCCAGAAGAAGUUCUUCUCACUCACUUUUUUGAGGGCCUUAGUAUGGAAAAUAAGCAAACAUUGAAUACAGCCUCCAGAGGAUCCUUCUAUCACUUACCUGCUAGUGAAGGUUGGAAUUUGAUUGAUUUAAUGAGCGGAAAGUCUCCUAGCUUUUAUAUCCUUGAGAAAGAGAAAGAACUAGUUCCUAGACAAGAAGAAGAAGUUUCGAUAGCCAAAUCACAAACACUUCAAUUCCAAACUUUAGCUAUCGAUCCUAAACCAUCAAUACCCCAAAAUUCUCCAAGGGAGGAAGGAAUUCCGUCCUUAAAUCUUUUAGAUACUGAUGGUUUAAACUCCUGGUUCCAUAAGAGACCUUCAAGCAGGGAUAAUUCAAAUCCUUGCAAUAAUGGUUCUCUUAGAGAAUGUCCUCAUUCCUGUUAUGAAGAAGUCGAGGAUGACAUAUCAAGUGAAGGAGAGCUAAGCCAUAUAGAAGAUUCUAUCUGCUCCCCUUCCAUGUUCACAAAUUCUAAAUCCAUCCUUGACCUUAGAUGUACUGUGUUUGCCACUAGUUAGACCUUUGGUUUUGAGCUCAAACAUGUCAUGAUAAGUGGUGAUGAUCAUGAUAAAGUCAAUCCAUGAAAAUGAGCCUCAAGUUAAACUUGGAGAACACGCCCUUGCUUACCUAUAGGCCCUUUUCAAAGUGCAUGCUUGGGUGACAUUAGGGGAACAUCUCUCAUGUGUCCCACAUCCAUUACUGCCUAUAGUGAUCACUCAAAAAGUUUCAUGAAGUUUGGAAUCAAAGGGUCACAUGAAAUGAUAUGUUACAUGCUUGUUGGAAUGACCUCAUUAACUGAAUAAAACCAUAGGUCAUCAACCAAUCUUUGCAACCUUGCUCAAAUGACUCUAGAUGAACUCUACAACAAAAGUCAUGGAGGGUACAUGUUGAGCUUGUGCCUAGAAAAUGCUUCAAUUGGCCUAAAACUUUCAUUCAAGCUUUAUCAAGUUGCUGCUUUGACCAAAGUGAAAGUUUGACUUUUGUACUAGUUCUGAGGUUUGACCUUAAAUUAAAGUUGUAGUUUAGAUUCUGUAGAACAAACUUUGUUUAAUGGUGAAGAGCUAGUUUGGUUGCUAACCUAGUCAAAUUGAGUUUACAAGAUUCAAUGCAGUGCUGUUUUGGAACUCCAGAAUUUUGGCUAAGUCCUGAGGUGCUCAGUUUCGGGUGCCCUAGUUGGGAGCCUUGUAACUUCCAAAUAAUACUAAACCAGUACAAUGUCCUUUUGUAAAAGUUGUAGAAUAGUUUGCAUACUACAAUCUUUGUUAAAGUUACUAAGUCUGAAUCAUCUUCUAAGCAUGUAAAAUAAUAGUCCUAAAAUUGAAUCUGCUAUAAUUUCCAGCACUUAGAGUUUCUAAGUCUAGGUUUGCAGUUCAUCACGUUAGCAUUCCGCGUUCUCCAAAUUUUGUUCAACAACUUGCUUAGGUCCCAAAAUAAAAGUUGGAGCACAUAUUGUGGACAAAAGCAUACCGAAAGAUGACACCAGUUUGACUUCGUUUUGGUAACCAAUUUUGAGUUUUGCUAAUCACUAUCAAUUCAUUGACACUCAUAGGUUGCCAUCAAAUUAUCUUCUAAUCUGUAACUCUAAUGACCAUGGAACCUUAAUCAAAGUUGGAGAGUGUCAAGAGAAGAGCAAACUUCGUUUUUGGUCCACGUGCUCGGCGAAAUGCGUCCAAGGGCAACACGUGUUCUGGACGUGUUGACCAUGCACGAGUUCAACCUCUCCAUUGCUGCCACCUCCACCUUGCCCUGUCCUCUCUCUGCGCCAUUGUGGGCGAGCGCCAGAGAGCUCUCGCUGUCCUCCUCCACUCCCUCAACGCUCUCCCAUCCUCCACUCGCCUUCUUCCCUCUCCACUCUCUCCCUCUGUCCGCCAUGGACAGCCAGCACAGCAGCUGCGCCGCUGCAGGACAUGGCGCAAGCGUGGCUGGCCACUUUGCCAGCACAGCUGUCCCCUACCACUGGCAGCCGUUGGCCAUGCACCGCCCAUGGCUAGCCCUUCCCCGUCGUUGGAACCAUCGUCGACCCGAUCUGCUCUGUCCUCUGUUCCCUAACAAGGGAGAAGCGAAGGGACCUCGGGUUCGAAUAACAAACAACCCAGGGUUCCAGAUGCAAAGCCAAGACUCAUAUGAAUAGUAUUUGUGAGCUGUUGCGUGAUUCAUGGAAAGUCCAGGUCCCCGGAGAAAGAUCUGUUUUCCUUUUCCUUUGUUUUUGCAGAUUUCUGGGUGAACUUUGGAAAUCUAUAGUAAUUCAUAGAAAAGUCGUAAAAUAUCAAAUGCGGACUUUUUGGAAUCCUUGUGAAAUUCUCUAUGCAGUUUUUGUUUCAAGUUUUAACGGUAAAAAUAGAUCUGUGCAGUUCGGUUUUAAUUGUUUGUUAUAUUUGUCCUUUUCAUAACCACAGUAUUAUUACUCAAAUAAAUGUGAAAAUAUUGUGGCAUGCUUUACAUAUAAUAUUUGAUUUCUGGUAAAAUUUACAUGAAUUUAGGAAUGACAGAUUAAGAGUUAUAAAAAUAACAAAUUCCCUUUGUUGCUUUGCUCAUAUUCUGAGUAGGUCUGCAUGUUUAUAUUGUUUGGCUCAGUUAGAUUGUGAAUCAUGCCUGGAUGAAAAUAUAUGAGUUGUAUUACUUUUCAUAAGCUUUCCAUCAAGCUAAAUAGCAUAAUUUUUGGUUAAGCAUAUCUUUAGUUAUAGUGGUUUAAAUUACUAUUUCAGUUUCUGUCUAAACCGAGACAUGAAUACAUUGUUUGUUAUGUAAGACCUUGUUAGUGCUAGAUUCAGCUCUAGAUGUUUAUAACAAAGUUGUUCAAAAUUUAGUAAGCUUUCUAGAAAGUACAUAACCAUAAUCUAUGGGCAUGUGAAACUCAAGUUAUGGCUGUUUAAUGUGACAUGAUAGAUUCUGUCCAUGUUUUAGACAGAGAUGUCUUUAUGGAUCUUGAUAAAUGGUUUAUAAUUAUAAAUAAAAAUGUAAAAAUGAAAAAUGUUAUUCCAAUACAAUCCUAUGAUAUUGUUGUAUCGUGUUUAUGUAUGAUAUGGCCAUGUGUUUGAAGAAAAUAUGAUUUGUGCAUUUAUCUUGCUCUCACAUGGUUAAUUGCAAUAGCAAUUUGUCUUUUAUAUAUAUGUUGAUAUCUUUCUUCAAAUGCAGUGAAAUUUAUACAGUGGACUAUGGAUAGUAUUUAGAAGCUACUGUAAUUUUGGUGGAAUUUAUUGAGCACUUUUGUUAUAUGUUCUUUAAUUCACCUUAUUAUCCAAAUAAAUUAAGAAAGGCAUUAAAUAAAUUUAUUUGGUAAUGACCACUAUGUUUUCUGGUGUUCUUUAGUUAUGUGCAAACUGUUGGUGACAAUGGUUUUGCUCAAAUGCAUGUUUGAAAUAUAAGUUAAUAAUUAAUUGUUUGCAAUUAUUGUUUCUGGACAGUUUGUGGAACUGUUCGGAUUACAAUAUGUAAAUGAUGUUUUCUAGGAAUCUUGUUUAUAGAAAAGUUGUAGAUAAUUCAGUUAUCUAGCAGCUGUCAAAAUUUGGUAGUAUGUGGCCUUGUGGUUUGUAAGUUAUGUCUAUUCAAACUUAGAUUUCAGAAUGGUUGCUCUCUGUCUUGUUAGGACCCGAUUCUGUAAUUCUAAUAUUUCGACCUGCCAAACUUAUGAAUCAUGCUUUGAUGUCUAAAGAUGAAAUGUAGAUAAUUUCCUAAGCUUUCCAGAAUGUCUUCUUUAAUGUCUUUUGGAGUUGUGUAACUCCAGUUAUGAUUUAUUUUCUCAGUUGCUGUUAACAGUACUAAAAAUGACAGAUUCCUUGUAUUCCUGUUGCUUAGUAUAUUGCUAUGUAUGACUCAUGUCUUUGGUAAUGGCCAAGUUAAUAUACCUGAGACCCUGUGAAACAUGUAUGCCAUGUUUAGUAUGUUUAGUGUUGCAUUCCUUGUUGACUUAGCAUGUGGUUGUGAAAUCAUGAAGUUGAGCAAUGAGAUGUGCUUAAGUAUGUUUAGUGUAACCAUGCUCUUGCCAUGCUUUUUGUGUGUGAUGCUUUGUCUAUUGGACUUCUAUGUGUUUAUGCACUUGCAUCUUGCAUCUCAUUUAGGUACGCUAGAUGAACUACGUGAAGGACUUUAUGUUGGACCUAUCGGGAUGAUGGAAGGACUACACAAGUGUUGUCACCUUAGAUGUCGUCAAGACGGUGCAAGCUGACUUAAUUGACUUGUGUCGGAUUCCAGGCACGCCACGGAGCAUUCUAAGUCUCCUACCCUCUAUUUUUAUAAAAGCACAAGAGUAUAACUUCAUAUGAUGCAUUAGGUGAUAGGAGUUGAAUGAAACCGUUGGUGCAUAUAUUCCUACCUUGUCCACUAUAUGAAACUACCUGAACCCUUACCAGUAUAAAGAAGACGUUCUAUGCUUAGCUAUGCUUAGCUCGGUAGAAGCCAGGUGAUUUCCUGUCACCUGCGAGAGAUAGGUGGAAACCUGAUCACGGUUGGCUAUAUUUGCUAUCGUGGAAAUAACCAUGUGCUAAUAAUGAAUUUGAGACCGGGCGGGAUGACGAUAGUGAAGCAACAAGGCAUGGAGGUCUUGGGUGUGAAUCUAUCCCCGUCUGUGUCGGUUAAGGACCGAUUCGCUGUACGUCCUCGUGUCAUGUUGAAUGCAUGCCUACCACUUAGCUGGCUGGAUAAGUCGUUCCGACCGCGAAGCCUACGAUGCAUCUCCGGCCGGAUACCCCAUUUGGUUUAAGUGCGCACCCCGGUUGGUAGCAAGGCUGUGCGGGGAGUCAAUGGCGUAAGACCGAGGAGUCAGGUUAGAGUCCUGACCCUGGCAGAUUGGCGGUCCCUGGGGGUGCGGCGCCGUAUGGACCCGAGAAUUGGUUCGGAGUUGUGCUAAAGGUGAUCCAAGCUACUCUAGCUAAGUACGCCUGGGUGAGUGCUAGGAAUACCCCUCCAGCUGGAUAGGAAUCGAUUCGAAUCGCCGUCUCUCCCGGAUAGUGAGAACUUGACUCGAGCAGUGGCAACGUAGAUAAACUAAAUGAAACUUAAUGGUUAUGAUGAUGAUGAUGGCUACAUGAUAAACCAGAUAUGGUUAUUAAUGUGAUGCUCAUUAAUCAAGUAAUUGCUAUAGAAUAGGUGCAAAUCUAGCUAUGGUAGCUUUAUUGAACUUGAUGCUAAAAUAUUGAUUAAAAGGUUGAAAGUAAGGACUCAUGAUAGUAAUGCUCUUUUUGGAAAAGUUAUGCUAUCCAACCAACUCCACCAAAAAGCCUUGCAUAUCCUUGAGAGUCUUUUAUUUUCUCUCCUGUCGGGCAAGUCUAGCUGAGUACAUUCGAGUACUCAGGGUUUAUCCCACCAUGUUGCAAGUGAAGUCUUCAGCCUGCUAAAGAUGGUGGUUAACCGCCGGUGGGCUCGGUGAUUCCAUAUAGUGUUCUCAUCUAUAUGCUUUUGUCGGAGGAUGUCACUUAUGCUAGCAAUGUAUUUGGAACUUAUGUUAUUGUAAUCAUUUGAAAGCUAUGUCAUUUUCUAAUCAAUUUGGAAAAUCCAAACUUGUACUAUUAUUUGUGAACUCUUUUGUAAUAUUAUUUCCGCUGCAAAUCUCCAUGUAUGUGAUGUGUAUUUGCUUAAUCAUGCGAUCUUGGUGUAAAGUUGAUUUACCGAGGUCCUUCGUGACACUCGGCAGACUACCGGGUUUAUAUAAGUGAGAGUAUGUGCGUGUCAACGUGUUAAACGGGUACAGUCGUACUUAAGCUUGUAUAAAUUGGGUGGUUCUGUCACAUUAGAGACCCCUCUUAUCCCUCUCCUUUUAAGUCUCAUGAUGAUACUAACAUUCCAUUAAGACUAUCAAACCAUAGGAGUCGUAAAGACCAUGAGGAUGACAUCUCAAGUAAUGUGAUAGAAGGAGAGCUAAGCCAUAUAGAAAAUUCUAACACCUCCCCUUUCUUGAUCACAUGUUCUAAAUGGCUAGAAUGUGUAGAAUGGAUGGACAAGGAAGAAGCCUUAAUGGAUUCUGACUUUGGCUCAAUUUCAAAUGGUGAGUUCUUGACUCCCUUUGAAGAUGAGAGUCAUCCAACUACAGAAGAGGACAUAGGUGAGACCAAUCUAGGAGAAUCUCCGAACAUUCAAAUUGGAGACGAAGAUAACAUUAAUGAGCAUGGAAUUUAUUUCAUAGCCACCUCAUUUACUCCAUGCUCACAUGCAACAUCUUCCCAAUCUAUUGGUCUCUCCAACAUCACCACAUUUGAGAUCUCCAACCCCCUCUUCCUUUCUAUUUAUAAAAACUUUAAAAGGACGGUUGUCGAUGCAAUGUCUAUAAUAAAUAUUGUAGAUCUCGUUGAGUUGAUCUUGAUAUAGGUCAGCGUUGGAAGGGAAACCACUUCGCCGACAUAAAUUGAUGGUUUCCCAAGGACAAGCUUAGUGUCCUAAAAUAAGCACUGAUCAGAUCGUAACAUGAGCUUUUAAUUAUUUGCAACGUUACCUUGUGUAUUGAGCAUAUAAAGACAAUUAUAAAAAUAUUCCUUCGAGUAUUCUUGUCACUAACCUUUCUAGGAUUGGACCAAGAAGAUCGGAUGAAUGACAAGCUGAAGGUAUGUCCAACCAAACAUCAUACAACAUUGAAUUAAAUUCAUCCAAACUUUAAUUUUGCUAAAUUCAAGCUUGGGGGAGUACCUUACAUAAAACAUCCUUUGCCAUGUUGCUAUGUUGGUUGUCCCUACCUUUGUGCUACAUGCUCAAUUUGUUAAGUACUAAUCACACUACUUCAUCUCCACUUGAGUAGAUCUCUAUAAAUGUUGUCAUGCUACCUUUGUCUAUUUACUAGCAAGUGUUGGUUUGGAAGUACUCGACAUACUUCCAUUGGCAGUUAAAUUAAGCAUGGUGCUUAGUUUAAAUAGCCUUCCUCAAUCUGAUUAGACAUGGAGUCUAGUUUGGUCAUUGAACUAAAAACUGCUUGAGUAGAUAUUGGUAUAUUUUGUCGGACUAACCCCUGCAGAAAAACUUUCAAUAUCAACCUGGGAAGUCCUGAGAUAAACUCACAUUGGAGACAAAGAGAGAGACACAUGAAGUUUAACAAUUUACACAAGGAAGACGUAGCUCAUAAGAGAUGAUCCAUGGAGGGUGCCACAAACACGAUACACAACCACUACAAAUGGGAAGCUUCCACAAGGUAAGAUGGUACCAUCACUCUUCAAUUAAGGUAACAUCUUAAGAUAUCUGACUAUCACUUUUGUAAGCUUCUCCUUGGUUCUGGCGUUCACAUAAAUAAAGAAACAAACAUGUAUGAUUUAUAAGUCCAAAUUAACCAACCCAACUGAUUCAGCAUGUUUAGUCCUUUAAUCUUUGUUCCUAGUACUACCUCCAUGAUCCCACACUCCUAAUCAUAUGAGCUAAAAUGUUACACAUUCAAUCUUUGAGAGAUAUAAAGAAAAAGACAUAUACAUAGAUGGAUUAUCUCUCCAUAAGGUUGAGUGAUCUGAUCUGACAAAUGUUAUAUGUACUACACUCAUGAACUUAUCAUCCAUCAACUUUGUCUUGCUCACUAUGCUUAAGGUUAGAGAAGAACAAAUACACUUUUGGUUCUGUUGGUGUUUUCCACCAACAGGACCCAUGCACUUGAUCUCUGCCUUGUCUCUAUGAGCAGGUACACUUCGAGCAAAACAUGGAGGAGUUUUAUAACUCUCAGACUCCACCAAGUGAAGGACCUGGAUCUACGAGCACAAACACACUGAGCAGGAUGCUGCCAACGCCGCACUUCGAACUGCUGGGCAAACGAAGAACAUGGGUGACACCGUAUCAAGAGGUGCAGACGUCAAGGUACACACCUGAAUCAAAUGACGCAACUAAAGAAUGAACACGGUGAGAAGUCUUGUUCAGAAGACUUAAAACAUUGGACCCUUGCCGGAAGGUAAAAUCGGUAAUUAUCCAUAUUUAUCCUUUCUACAUUCCAUUUUCCCUUUAAUUAUUUACUUUCCUUAAAUGGGUUGUUAGUUAAUCAUGCUAUCUUGAAAAUAAAAUAAAAAUGUUAAAAAUACUAAGCCCCAUGUGAGUAUGCUCGUGGCAUAAAACCCAUAAGUACAUUCACUGUGGUGGCGUAAAAAUAAAAUAAAUAUAUUCCUGUCCUAUAGAAAUGAAAGUAUAAAAAUACAUUUAUGAUCCUACCAAAGAGAGUAAUAUUUAUUAGAGGAAGUUCAACAUGAUAAAGGCUAAGAGAUUUUAUGCUAACACUUAACCAGUUCCACAAAGCUUUGUUGUCUAUUUGAGCUCCACAGAAUUCAAGGAUCAAAGAACACUAGCAAACGGAGGACAUCCUAAUCGUUGUCAGGGUGCUGCCGACAUUCAAAUACACCUCCGUCAAAAUCCAGCUUGGGGGAGAGCACCCCCAUUUAUCUAGCUAAGUGUUUCUAAUCGCGUUUAUACUUUACUCAAAUAAUAAAAAGAUGCAUAAUCAUAAAAACCCAAAUAAAGAUUUUAUGCUUAUAUAUAUAUAUAUCUAUGCUUAGUUUGCUAAAUAAAUAAAUAAAUAAAGUUUGUUAUGAACCCUCAUGAUAAGCUCUCACAUGGAAAUGCUGAAUAGUUGCUCUGCCAUGACUAGUUCUCAAUAUUGAAAUCUCUCUCAAGUUUAGGCAUUACUGUUAUGAAUUAAGAUUUGCACUAAACCUGAACUUGUGGAAAGAGUACUUGAUCUAAAGUCUAAGUCGUUAACGGAUAUGAUAUGGGAAGGUUGAGCUGCUGUUUAUCUGUUCCUAGAGAUGCUAGAAUUCUGGAGAAUUUUAUCUUUGAAAAUCUUUAAAAUGUUGCAUGAUGUGUUCCUGUAUGAUGAGAGUUUAAAAUCCUACCACAUCCAUAUAUACAUGCUUAUUAGACUAUGAACCAUACAUUUACUUUUUACUACUUAUGAGCAUUGAGUGUGGUCAACCUAUGUAGACCCUUAGGAGCUUGUCAUGCGGUUAAAAUCAAGAUUCACUUGCACGUUCACUCAUACAUGCUGCUUCUACUCCGGAAGUACGCAGCCACAUACAUCCACUCCUUUCCAUCUCCAGAUUCACCUAAAAUUAUUCUACUCCUAUCCAGGAGAGAAUAGCCAAAAACAUUAUCCUAUCCCUGUUAUUCCCCAUGAAAUAAAUGCUCUUGAUAUUUUGGUUACUACCACUUGCUACAUUAUUCUAGGAGGGUGAGUGCUCUGAAAAAAAAAGAGAAAAAAAAUAAUACGAGGAAAUAAAAAGGGGCAAGUGCCCGGAACCUCGAAGAAAAGAAAAAGUGAGACGAGAUGUAAAAAUGGACAAGUGUCUGACAGUAGAAUUAGGGGUACAAGAUACCCACCUAAGAGAAAACAAAAAGAAAAUAUAGAGCAUCUCAUUCCUCUCAAAAACCAUCAAAGUGCAAGAAAGGUAUGUAUCCCCUCAAAAGAGCAAAAGUAGAAUUAGACUUUCACCAUUAUUUUCACCAUUAUCACCAUCAUCACCAUACACCAUUCAUCCACCACACAUGCACAUCUUGAUUUGAAUUAUUGACUUGUUUCUCUGGAUCCAUGGUUUGAUUAUGCAAUAAAUGUCUUGUAAGUAUGUAUUAGCUUUCUCCCACCUAUGAGCUCCAGAUAUCAAAACCUUGUUAGAGUAGGGUGAGAGAGAAGGCAAUAUCACUAUGCCUCAUACCACAAACACUACAUACUUUGAGAGAAGGCGUAUAUCAUCACUGCCUUGGUAAGGAUCCAAAAAUACCACAAAAGAGAGACUAGAGAGAGUCAUACAAGGAAUCUCUGAGUUUUAUUUGAAAAUCUACAAAAACCCCAAAGCUAUAGUUGAUCAAAGAACAAGAGACAUGGUGCUUGACUUGACCGUUCUAUCUUUUAACUGCUCAAGACACAAGUGAUGGUUGCAAGCCCCAUGGUGGAAGGUAACAUGAGUAAGUUUAAGUCUUAACAAUUUACCUUAACCUAGAGAUGAGAUCUUGUUUGAACACAUGUGUACCUUUAAGGCAUAAAAUCACUAUUGACGGUCCUUAAGUACCAAAUAUAAUCAACAAAAAAAUAAAGAAAAGGAUCCAAAUGUAACCAACACCCAGACUUAGGGUUUUAUCUGACAGAAUUCCACGAGUUUUGGUGUUUGUCUAUUUCUACAGGGGGUUAUCAGGAAAUAUGGAGGAAAGGCCCACAUGUCAGGUUUACAUAGAGAUAUUAACGUGCCGCGCAAUUUUCUAUCAUCUAGAAGACUCCAGAAGCCACGGGAACAAAGCGGAAGCCGAGAGAGCUCAGGGAUAGGGCGCCCGCCCAAGUCCUUAGGGCGCCCGCCCACCUAUUUCGACCAAUCACGUUCAACUUCGCGGAUUAUGCUCCACCGACCUAAAGGAUCAAGAAUAACCGUUCAAUCAAUGUUGGUUUGAUACGACGGCCUAGAUUCACUCGAGGGGACUAUAUAAGCAGACCCCCUGGCCCCUGGAGGAGGCACCCCUUGAUCAUUAUUCAUUAUUCAUAGACAGAGCAAAAGCUAGGGUUUGGAGAUGAGAGCUCUCCUCUCAUCUCUAAACUAGAAUAGAUCUAGAUAGUAGCGAGAUGGAGAGCGAGGGAGGAUAGGAGGAGAGGCCGGCCUGUCGGUUCUUCCUCUGGUUGUACUUCGUCAUGAUCAAGCUCUAAUCAAGCUUGCUCAUGGGAUGACUCUGGUAAU